AGUCUCAUCUGACUGGGAAAAUGCCCAGAGCUUGAGAGGAGAAGGAAUUCUUUCCCCAUGGCACUCCAGUCACAAUGAUUUGGGAAGUGUAUUGAAACCUGUUUCACAUGGAUCUAUGCCUUCCCCUAUGAAGAAUUCUUAUUUAUAAUCCCUCAAUUUCUUUGUCUGUGGAGGAAAGUCAACUACUCCCCAACCAUAAAGGUAUGUCAUAUUGAUAUAUAUGUACAGUAAAAGAAUUUUUUAAAAAAAUAGUUUUGGUUUUUAACAUGAACACAUUAUAUUUCAAUUGAUGUGUAAAUUGCUUUGCAAUAGAUGUUGUUUACAUAUUUAUUGAAGUGUAGUAGCCUCUUUGCCUCAUUGCUUUUCUUUUUUCCUGAAGUGUUUUGUUGAUUUUGUGUGAGUUGUUUGUUGAGGGUUGAAGCUUAUAUGUGUCUACUCAAAAGUAAGUCUCACUAAAUUCAGUCUGGCUUACUCCCAGGUAAGUGGGGAUAGAGUUGCAGCCAUAAUCAAUUUCCUACUGGGAACAGAAUGCAUUGGUCAUUAUGUUUGUUCACACGGGAAAAAAUGAUUUCUUCCAGGACCUGGAAACUUUAUCUGUGCUCCUCUGUCCUUUAUCCGAACCCCUUCUGUCAAUGUGGGGACAGCCAUUUGGACUUGACUGCUCAUUUUUGACCACCCAUCCCCUAAAUCUUUGUUCCAAAGGCCAUUUAAAACAUAAGUCAUAUUGAGUGUUACAUUCUACCACACAUUUAACUAUUUUCAGUAUUAAAGGUAAAGAUAAAGGGACCCCUGACCAUUAGGUCCAGUCGUGGCCGACUCUGGGGUUGCGGCGCUCAUCUCAUUUUAUUGGCUGAGGGAGCCGGCGUACAGCUUCCGGGUCAUGUGGCGAACCAGAGCAGCGCACGGAAAUGCCGUUUACCUUCCUGCUGGAGUGGUACCUAUUUAUCUACUUGCACUUCCUGAUUUUGAACUGCUAGGUUGGCAGGAGCUGGGACCGAGCAACAGGAGCUCACCCCGUCAUGGGGAUUCGAACCGCCAACCUUCUGAUCGGCAAGUCCUAGGCUCUGUGAUUUACCCCACAGCGCCACCCGCGUCCCAUUUUCAGUAUUAUAUAUGCAUUUAUUAAAUGAAAUGUUGUAAUGAGAAAGGCAUAUGUGAUUAAGUUGCAUUACACUGACUCAUAUGAUCCCGGACACAAAGGGCAGAACAUCAGCAGGGUGCUAGCCUGUCCCUUCCAGAUACCUGAGUGAGGAAGAUGAGACAACAUGACAAAUUUAUCCUGCACCAUGAUAGAUAGGAGGGUGGACUGCAAUCCUAACCCCAUUUACCUUGGCAUAAUCCUCAUUGAAUUCUGAGUAGACAUGGUUAGAACAGCCGCCAUAGAUGCCCUUGUGAUGGGUCAUUAGACACCUCAUUAACUUUGUCUUUAAGGUGCCACAGGACUCUUAACUGUAUUUGCUGCAACCGACUAACAGGGCUAUCCUUCUAGAAAUUCAUUAACCUUGGAAGUGAACACACAGGUAAGGUAAUUGAUUUGUAAAUAACUGUUCAUGGCUGAGAUAUGUAUGUCUGUUGUGGCACUGUGAUAUACUUUUUUUUUUUUAAAGCACCCAUAUAUUUGCUGAAAGGAAAAAGAGACUUGUGAAAAAUUAACCAGAGGAAUGGAAAAUACUAGAUGAAAGUGUGAACAAAUAUCAGGAUGGAUUGAGGCACUGUUGUGCAUUCCUGCUAUGAGUAGAGGGGCCAAAUACUUCAUCAUAAACAACUUAGUGAAUUCGGUUUGGGGGGAGAGAGUGGAUCCAUAAAUUUGAAGUAAUAAGGAAACGAGGUUGUCAUGGAAGCUUAGAGAACACACUAGUCAGGAUGCUAGACAAAUAUGUUAUUGUCUCUCUUAAACAAGAACAGAACAGAAACAAAAACCACCUGCUUACAACCUGAUACAACCAAGUCUGGCUCCAUUUAGUUACUGCAGGUGGAAUCCAAUGUAGCACUACAUUUUUUGUUGUUCACACAAGGAACAGCAGAAUAUUAUUCUCGUCUCCUCCUUCUGCAUGCCCCCUAAAUCUCUUCUAGGGCAGCACAUUUGGGGAGUGUGCAGGGCAUGCCCAGGACGAGGACGAUGAUAGAAGAAGAAGAAGAAGAAGAAGAAGAGGAGGAGGAGGAGGAGGAGGAGGAGGAGGAGGAGGAGGAGUUUGGAUUUGAUAUCCCGCUUUAUCACUACCCGAAGGAGUCUCAAAGCAGCUAACAAUCUCCUUUCCCUUCCUCCCCCACAACAAACACGCUGCGAGGUGAGUGGGGCUGAGAGACUUCAGAGAAGUGUGACUGGCCCAAGGUCACCCAGCAGCUGCAUGUGGAGGAGCGAAGACGCGAACCCGGUUCACCAGAUUACGAGUCUCCUGCUCUUAACCACUACACCACACUGGUCAUAUUAUGCACAUGGAAAUCAUUUCAUUGGUAUUAGUGGAGGACUGCCUUAUAGCUAGCUCAGGCAUAGGCAAACUCUGGCCCGCCAGAUGUUUGGGACUACAGUUCCCAUCAUCCAUGACCACUGGUCCUGUUAGCUAGGGAUGAUGGGAAUUGUAGUCCCAAACAUCUGGAGGGCCAGAGUUUGCCUAUGCCUGAGCUAGAUAAUGAACCUAUCUGCACAUUCCUCCCCUUUGCUUAAAGAAAUAACAGUUAAAUCAGCACUGUUGAGACAUCUAUUUGUCUCAAAGGGUUCCAAAUAAUGUCUAUUGAUCACUAGAAAUCCCAGGUGAAGCUGCCUCUUGAGAUAUAGUUCAAUAAUAUUUGAGAUAUAACUAGUUCAGAACGACCAACUGGGCUUAGAAGAGUUGCAAAAAGGGUUAUAAAAGAAUAUAGCUUUGAUUAAACCUGGUCUCCCUUCUUUUCAUAUGUACGGGGGAAAGAAAGUAAAGCUCUCCCAACAGCCUCACAAAUCAGGAGCAUAGCCAGGAUUUGGGGGGGGAGGGGGCAGAACCAAGCUAUCUGUGACUCAGUUGGUCAUUAAGUUAAGUAUCUUUAUUUAUUUAUUUGAUUUGGAGGGCGGCAGCUGCCCCCGUCACAAACCUGUCUGUGGAGAAUGUAUAUGGACUGCCAAUGUUUUAAGAACAUGUAAAAUGGCACCAUAAACUUAAUGCUAUGUUCUUUUCUCUGUGGAGACUGUAUAUAAUUUUAUAUAUAAUUAUAUAAUCUUCUUAAUUAGAAAUUGGAAAAAAGGGUUCCAAAUAACUGGGUGAGAUGAGUAAUGAUCUGAAAUGGUGUCCGUCUUACAAGAUGACUCAGGAAGAGUUUUGAAACAUGAACUUUGGCAUGUUAGACACCACUUGUACCUUUGGGAUAGUACCUUUUCAGGAAUGAGAAGAGGGGGUUGGUCAGUUUCUAUUAAGACUUCCACGUUCAGGCCCAGCAGUUGAUCUGGGUGAUCUUUAUUUGUUCCUUAUACAAUAGCGGAAGGCUGCCUUUUCUCCAACGAGUUUGUUAGAAACUUUCUCUUCCAGCUCUGAAUUUUCCCACACUUCUUACAGAAAUGUCCAUAACUCUUUUCACAUGGAAAUCUGAUGAGGCAACUUUUUCUAUGGUAGCCUGCUUUGGAAGGAGCUUUGUCUUUAGGAGUAGAAUGGGUGUCCUGGCUUGUCUUCCAGUUGGGAAUUCUGGUUUCUCCAGACAACACAAGUCCUGUGAGUUGCAGGAAAACCUUCAAGAGGGAGGUAAUAUCAUUUCUUCUGCAACUGCCCAGCUUUUCCCCACCACCAAAUCUGCCUUCUGGGCUUAAAUCAAUGCACUUGCCAAAUUUGGUUUUGUUUUUUUUUAUUCAAAGUUAUAACAAAACAUAUUAUCCAAAAACAUUUCCUUAUUUCCCCCGCCAUUUUUCUCCCUCCCCCUCCCCCCCACAAAACCCAUCCCCCCACCCCACCCCACCCCGACUUCCCUCAGUUCCAGUCUUUGGUUUCUCCAAUAAUGCUAUUUUCUGCAUGUUACAAAGUUGCAUAGAUCCUCAAACUAUUUAGCUAAUUAUUAUCAAUAAAAAAAAAGUUGUGAAUGUUUAUUCAAAACCUGCCAAGGAGUCCAGUUCGCUUUGUUGCGUCUUCAGAUACUUUGUGAAAGGUUCCCAUUCAUCCUUAAAGUCACAGUUAUCCUUGUCCCGUAGCUUAUAUGUCAAUUUUGCCAGUUCUGCAUAGUCCGUCAAUUUUUCUUGCCAUGAUUCUUUAGUUGGGAUUUCUUCAGUCUUCCAUCCUUCCAUCCAAAUUUGGUUUUAAGGGAAGUUCAUCCUUCUUCCUUUUUUAAAAAAUUGGUGUGGAAUUUUUUUUCUAAGGCGAAGGGUUUCACUUUAAAAGCCACCAACACUGAACAGCUGUUGGGAGCCCAGUUGACAGCUUCCCUGUUUUCCUGUGCCUACAGAAAUGCCCCAAGCUGGAUUUUCAGGAAGCGUCACCACCAGAGAAGAAAGCAGAUUGCAGGGCCACAAAAGGAAGGAUAUUUAGAAUGAAAAUGACAACAUCACCCUCCAAAAAACCCCAUCCACCGAAAAUAAAAGCAAGAUAAAAGCAUAAAAAGCCUUGAAGACUAUUCAUGAGAAUUUCACCAAACAUUUUCUCUCUCCUUUGAUAAUUGUUGUGUUUUCCUCAUUAAACAAUAGGGAAUUGGGGGCAAAUGUAGAAGAAACGUUCGGAGCAGCUCUGAAAAACAAGGAAAGGACCAGAGGUGUCGUUCUCGUAAGGAGGCUAUGGCCCUCAAGGCACAACUAAUUGACAGAGGGAAACAAAUACCCUUUCACUGCAGCAGCCGAUAACUCAAGGCUCAUGAGAUUAUGAUAUAAAAUGUACUAAGACAAAGUGAUUGCCACAACAAUGGAGAGAUGUACCCUGUGGAUGGAAUGCAUCCAAGAUGCUCAUAAAUCUGUAAUGAGAAGAAGAAAAAGCUUGAGAAAUGACCCCAUGUGGAAAAGGAGGAAAGGGAGCACUAGAGGAAAAGAGAGAGGGGCGGUGUAAGCUGCAAGAAACUACAGCGGCAUAUUCAAAACACGGGUACGGGGGGCAGAAAGAAGGGGAGAAACAGGUGGGGGAUAAAAAGGGGGAAAUCUGGAGAGAAACAUAGCAUGGCAGAGCAUGGCAUUCUGAAUGUAUGUGAUACCUAUGAAAAAAGACCUUGCUCUAGCAUGUGAGGGCAGGAGAGAGAAGAACGUGUUCUUGAAGCACAGAAAGAAAAACCUCAUUAAGAACUACAGUGGUACCUUGGGUUACGGACGCUUCAGGUUACAGACUCCACUAACCCAGAAAUAUUACCUCGGGUUCAGAACUUUGCUUCAGGAUGAGAACAGAAAUCAUAGAAUUCUAGAGUUGGAAGGGACCACGAAACUGUUCUUAACCUGAAGCACCACUUUAUCUAAUGGGGCUUCCUGCUGCCGCUGCGCCGCCAGAGCACGAUUUCUGUUCUCAUCCUGAAGCAAAGUUCUUAACCUGAAGCACUAUUUCUGGGUUAGCGGAGUCUGUAACCUGAAGCGUAUGUAACCUGAGGUACCACUGUAUAUGAUUGUGCUCCAAAAUGACCUACAAGGAGAGCAUAUGCUUAGAUCAGGCACAGGCAAACUCGGCCCUCCAGAAGUUUUGAGACUACAAUUCCCAUAAUCCCUGACCACUGGUCCUGUUAGCUAGGGAUGAUGGGAGUUGUAGUCCCAAAACAUCUGGAGGGCCAAGUUUGCCUUAUGCCUGGCUUAGAUCGUAAAUAGCAUUGGUGUCCCCCUCACCCCAAAUCCUUUGAAAAGCUCUAGUUUAGCUUCCCCCAAUAGUAGUUAUUGUUUUACCUAUUAUUUCUUACAUUUAUAUCCUGCUUUUCCUUCACAGAGUACACAUGGCUCUCCACAUCUCUGGUUUUUUUAUCCUCACAACAGCCCUGUGAGGUAGGUUAGGCUGAGAGGAAGUGGCUUCAUGGCUGGCCGGGGAUUUGAUCUCUGGUCUCCCAGAGUCAUAGCUGUCAACUUUCCCCCUUUUCUUGUGAGGAAUCCUAUUCAGAAUAAGGGAAUUUCCCUUUAAAAAAGGGAAACGUUGACAGCUAUUCCCAGAGUCCCAAUCCAAUACUCUAACCACUACACUAGAAGGGAGCAGGGUGCAAAUGGUUUCUGUUUGCAUUCCCUGAGGUAAAUGGUAUUGGGGGGGGGAAGGAGUUUGUGUUGGCUGUGUUGCAUUGUGUACAGUGACUCACGAUGAUGAUGCAUCUGGUGGCGGGUUGGGCGUCCCUGUCAUUACACAUUCCUUGUAACAAACAGAUUUAAUAGCAGUUGGUGUAGUUGAGCAUCUACUUAAUUAGUUUUAAUAGUCUUCAUCAACUAGUAUGUUCCACCUUGUCCAAGAGAGAAGGCAAUUAAUUCCUCAACACUUUGCAUGGCUGUUACUGACUGCAAUCAUAAUCAACACACCCUGAACAUUUUAAUAGCCUCUCUGAAGCACUGCUUUUGGAUGUGAGCGGCUGCAAAUGGCACAGAUUCAAAGGCAGGAAUGGUGCACUUGGAUGCGAGCCCAUCUCUAAUCAGCAGCAGAAAGUGUGAGCACUGAAGCCCUUUGCAUUCCUAUUCACUGCAAGAACAGCCCUUCUUGUAACAGAACCGGAACUGUAUCCCUAGCAACUCUGGAAAAUAGAUUUUUAUUUCUUUUAAAGGAAGGAAUCAAUACAGGAUAAUGCAAAAUCCAAUCAAUGGACAGAAGCUACAGAAAUACAAAUAGAGCUAUACCUAACAAAUACAAGAAUUCACAUUCAUUAGAGUCCUUGGGAAAUAAACGUUGUGCACCUAUUCAGCAUUAAGGAGGACAGUUGCUGUUGUUGUUUUAAAAAACAGAACUUUUAAAAUAUUCAGAUCCUUUGAAAUCACAAGACAGAACUCCCAUCGGACACCAGUAUUUGAUGUGAAAGAUUAAAUCUUGUCAAAAUAAUGGUGUAAUAUUUUGGUGUUAACAGAAGCAAAUUAUUGAGUGCAAGAACAGCCUCUUUACUAUCCAUUUGUACAAUACCUUCCAUGGUGUUUCAGUUUCAGAAAAAAUACCCUUGCCGUGAUAAUAAGAUAUUAGAUUAGGGCUGUAACCAGAUUGAAGGUCUAAUUGAUUUGAUUAAGACUUCAUGUGCAUAAAAUAACAGUUCAGGAGAGAAAGAAGAUAUUCUUUCUUUGCUACAGCAAAUACUAACUUAGACUGAAAUCCCGUACAGAUUUGCAUGAAAGUAAGUCCAACUAAGGUCAAUGAUGUUUGCUUCCGAGUAGACAGCGCACAAGGUUAUAGUUUAAUUGUAUGCAUGUAAUUAAAAGGUUUGUCUUCUGUCCAGGGGUGCCAGCUUGAAUAAAAUAUUGUGGGGUGGGGGGAAUAAACUCCGACCCACAUAAUCAGUCACAUGAUGCAGUGCACACACACCAUUUGAAUGGCAAUACACAUCAUCUUUUUGGGGGGGGACCCACCCUCCUCAUAUAAUUUCACUGAGGGGGCCCAAGACCCCUUGGCCCCUAGGAAUUGGCUCCUAUCAUUCUGUCCCCCAGUGGUGCUUCCAGAGCAAUUUACAAAAACAAGAUUAACCACAUUAAUAAGAUAUAGCAAACAUAAUAGUGGGGUAGGAUAGCUGAAAAUAAUGUCCAUAUAUUUCACAUCUGGCAACCAAUGUGUUCCUUUGGUUUCAGAGAGUACAUGGGUAGAGGUAAAGGUAAAGGGACCCCGACGACUUCCGGGUCAUGUGGCCAGCAUGACUAAGCCGCUUUUGGCGAACCAGAGCAGCGCAUGGAAACGCUGUUAACCUUCCCGCCGGAGCGGUACCUAUUUAUCUACUUGCACUUUGAUGUGCUUUCGAACUGCUAGGUGGGCAGGAGCAGGGACUGAGCAACGGAAGCUCACCCUGUCGCGGGGAUUCGAACCGCCAACCUUCUGAUCAGCAAGCCCUAGGCUCUGUGAUUUAACCCACAGCGCCACCCACAUCCCUAGUACAUGGGUAGACAAGACUAAAAAUCCCAGGACACAAUUUUCACAGCCCUCUAACAGCUAUGGUGGCUCAUUUACCAGAAGUAAUGUAUUUAGCGUUAACUCUAGAAGUGUAUAUUCGAUUCUGACCAAACUAAGUCUCCUAGAGCAAAAUAUGCAUCACGAGGCUGUUUGGUCAGAAUCAAGUAUACACUUCUAGGGUUAAUGCUAAAUGCAUUACUAAAUACUAUCUGAAACCAAAGGGGUGCAUUCGUUUCCAGAUAUGAUUCUUUUUUCAGCUCUUCUACUCCACUACAAUAGGGUUGCCAUAUUCAAAAAGUGAAAAUCUGGACACAAAAAUUGUUGAGCGUAUUUUUAAAUGAAAGUUGCCAAAAUCCAGAUUUUCCCAGACACUCCAGCGAUUUCUGCCCAAACACCUGCUUCCGACUGCAGUAUUCCAGCUAUGUCCAGGAAAUUCCAGACAUCUGGCAACCCAACACAAUAACAGCAAUACUUUCAAACAAAAGUUUAAAAUGGUACUUAAAAGUGUUUCAAGUAUGGCUGAAUCAUAUAUUAGCUGAAGACAGCAGGUUUAUUCUUCCCCUUUGUAGGAAAGUUCCAUGCAUGCUAAGAAAAAAACAGCUAGGGGAAGGAUAGACAGCCUUAGAAGGUCAUGCAUCACUUGUUCUUCCACACAUUUUAAGAAGACUGUUGCCAAAGAAGACAAGGGAAAUCACUGUGUAUUAAAAUAUAGCUUGAUAGGUUACUGCUUAUCAAAGGUCAAUGUCAAAAAUGCAAAGUUGCAGAGUAAGUGGAAUGUGAGCUGAAAAUUAACCUAAGGGCAUAAUUCAAAGAAACUAAAGUGUUUUUGUUUUUUGUUUUUUAAAAGAACUCUAACCAUUCAAACAGCAGAAAAUGUAUAAUGGCAGGAAUAAAUAUCCACAAUUCCUAAUAACUCUGUGCAACUGGAUGUUGCUGUGGAGAGUCAGAGGCACACAUUAAGAACUGCUUACUUAUUAAUGGAACUUCAUUUCUUAUUUUAAUACAGAACAUAACUGAGGCCUAGAAAGUCUGAUAACAGUAAAACAUCUAAUCAAUUAUGGAAACAAGAACCGGAGGAGAGAAUUUCGAUUUGGUAUGCAUUUAAAGCCGAAUCACUUUCCAAAACAUUAUAAGAACUGAAACACAGCUAUUCUUCUAAAUUCACAGUUAUCUGAAUUUUGCAAUGCGGUGCUCCAACCGACAAAAAACUUUACAAAAAUGCAUGUUUUAGGGUAAAGUAUGCAUAAACAUGAAGGCAAAACCAAUGUACAAAAUGUGUCACAUUAGGGGAAACUGCUAGCAAAAUUUUGAUAUAAAUUGCAUAUAAAGUAUAUUUAUUAGGAUAAAUUCUCGCUAAAAUGGUGAGGAAUUUUCAUGAGGAAUUUUCAAAAGACACACAGCUACGUUCGCAUAUGGGGAGAAUUGAGUUGCCAUUUUCUUUAGCUAUACAAGGCAGCCAAGGACUUGGAGCUCUUUUUAAAACUCGAAAGCAAGAGUCCCAUUGCUGUUCCCAAGCCACACAAGGUUUUCUCUGCUUCUUCCCACUACCUGCACUUACUCCAAUAGUUUCCAAGUGUUAUGAUGCAAAAUGAUGCCACAAUGUUCCCAGGCCACUCCAGGAAGUUUGUCUGGCAAAUGGACAGCCAUGCUUCCAGAAGGGAGGAACAUGUGUCAUGUCACUCUCAAGCCACUCUAGGAAGUGUGGAAAGGUGCUUUCAAGCCACACUUCCUGGAGGGACUUGGGAGUCAUGUGAUGUCACAAUGCAUCAUUCAAAAGUCUAACAAGUACUAUUGGAAGAGGCAGAGAGGGUUUCUUGAUGGUGUGAGCGGUUUGGGAUCUUGUUUUACCUUUUGUUUUGUUUUGUUUUAAGCCAGGCUUCCUCAACCUCAACCGUCCAGAUGUUUUGAGACUACACUUCCCAUAAUCCCUGACCACUGGUCCUGCUAGCUAGGGAUCAUGAGAGUUGUAGGCCAAAAACACCUGGAGGGCAGAGGUUGAGGAAGCCUGUUUUAAGCUAACCACCUCCGCCCCUUGACCACCUUAUACUGUUAUUGCAGGCCCCUCCCCAGGUGAAGUUUUGUGUUUUUUUUAAUUGUUGUUGUUGUUGUUUAGUCGUUUAGUCGUGUCUGACUCUUCGUGACCCCAUGGACCAGAGCAUACCAGGCACUCCUGUCUUCUACUGCCUCCCGCAGUUUUCUCUUCUCCUUGUGCCCUCCAUCUUUCCCAACAUCAGGGUCUUUUCCAGGGAGUCUUCUCUUCUCAUGAGGUGGCCAAAGUCUUGGAGCCUCAGCUUCACGAUCUGUUUUUUUAAUUACCCAUUAAGAAAUCAAGAGAAGACCACAUCCAUUUUUCAUGUGGGUGUGAUAUCUUCAGGAAAAUUAAAUGAAGUUUCAGCUCAGCACGACUUUCUUCACUCCUUUGACACCACACAAUUUAAUAUCUCGGCACACAUGAUCCCAAAAGAAUGAGUGCCUGUGCACAGAAUUAUUUUUAUAUUAUGUUUGUAUAACAUCGGGUGUAUUGUAGAUAUUAUUUGUAACAGCCUUUUUUGCAGAUGUAAUCAAAGCUCCCGGCUAGAUCUUAAUGCUAUCCUAAUUAUACAUUUUGUAUUUUGAUGUUCAGAGAAAAUAGUUUCAUUCGAAACUUGGGAUCCAGGUCUUCAAUUUAUGGCCAAGCAAAACAACACAUAGUCGUCACAUGUCUCUGAUACAGGUUCAGCAGAUAGAAAUUAGGUGAUGGCUAAUAAUGGCUUAGGAACUCAAUUUUUAGCAGCUCACAAUGCAAAGAGAAAAGUGAGUGUUAUAGUCCCAGAAGUUCUUCUCUGACUAGCAUUUUAUUCUGAGCCAGAGAAUAAUAUGAGUUAUUCCUCCUUCCUGCUUGGCAUCCUUUAAUACCACCUGAAAUCAUUGUGUUAGGAGUCAUAUUUUUUCAAUAAUGGAUACUUUGACAAUUGUUUCUAAGAGGAAAAUGACAUUUUGAAAUACCCCAGUAAUAGAUAUAUUUUGGUUAGAUCUGGUUCUGUCUCGUGAUAAAAUUAAUUCCCAUCCAAUGGUAGCUAAACUUAUGGUAGUACGCCAAGUCUUCUCAAAUCUGUUAAAGAAUUGUUUUAGCUUAAUAAGUAAAGUUCAAUCAAGUAAUUAAUCUCUUGAUUAUUUUAAGUGGAAUUUGCACAAUGUAUUCUAUAUAACGAGCUACAGUAAGCAAUAAAUUAUUUAUGCAGUCAAGAUUACAUGCAACCUAGUAGCUUGAUGAAUGGCAUAGUCAAAAUGACUGAAUAAUAUAUCCCCUUUUAGUAAGGAAAGCACCAAGUUCAAAGGAAAUCUCAUAAAUGUACUAAACAGGGACUCUGCAUACAGGGAACUUAUGCAAAUUAAAUUAAAAUGUAAGUAAUACACGUGGCUAAGCAGAAGAACAAGGUCUUGAAGGUUGAUAACAAUUUUCAUAUUUUUCUUUUAAGACUAUAACAUGCCCCAUCUGCUUGACUACAUUUUUUUUAACGUAGGAAGAACAUGCCAUGGACUUUCUGUAACUUGUGCAUAAUAUGUGAAUAUGUGAAUGCUAGACUCCAUAUUCCUCUGGUGGGUAGAGGAACAAGUAGCCCAUAAGAAGGAACAUGGAAGCUUUACUGGCUGUAGCCCUUUUCCUUCCCUUCUCCAGUUUCCUAGCUGUGCCCUCUAACCACCCAACUCCAUCAAGCUGACCAUAAUGACUGAAUAUUCUGUUUUGGCUUAAUGGUGAUAUUCAGAUUUCCAGUUCAGGGCCCCAGUGUGGGCUUGGGAACUCUGAUUCAGAUAAUACACUAAUUGCCUCACUUGAGGGGGAGCUUUCAGCACCCCCUUCUACUGUGGUCCAGCCUGAAGGCAUGGUUCUUCCCUCAUCUUCAGAGGCCAACCACGAUUCCACAAACACAUGAGAUGGCAGAAUAGGCUACAAUUACCUAUUGCAAAUAGAAGGGACUCGGGUGGCGCUGUGGGUAAAACCUCAGUGCCUAGGACUUGCUGAUCGUAAGGUCGGCGGUUCGAAUCCCCGCGGCGGGGUGAGCUCCCGUCAUUCGGUCCCAGCUCCUGCCCACCUAGCAGUUCGAAAGCACCCCUAAGUGCAAGUAAAUAAAUAGGUACCGCUUUAUAGCGGGAAGGUAAACGGCGUUUCCGUGUGCUGCGCUGGUGCUGGUUCGCCAGUUGCAGCUUCGUCACGCUGGCCACGUGACCCGGAAGUGUCUUCGGAUGGCGCCGGCUCCCGGCCUCUUGAGCGAGAUGAGCGCGCAACCCUAGAGUCGGUCACGACUGGCCCGUACGGGCAGGGGUACCUUUACCUUUACCUAUUGCAAAUAACUCUCCCAGGAGAGCAUAGCCACGGAGAGGUCAAGCCCUGCCACAGUCAUUUUGAGGCUUCACAUAACUAAGCCUUUGCUGAGACAUCAUUUCCCCAAACUCUGCUAGCUCUGUGUUUGUAUGUGUGUCAUGAGGCUUGCUCCGAGGUAACCACUAGAAAUUAAGCAAAUUUCCCCCUCCAAAUUUUCUCAGUAGUCAUCCCUACUCUUUGCCAUCCCUUUAGGUACAAAUCCAGAAAUGGCACUGUCUCUUCUUCUUCUUCUCUGGCGAUUGUACUUCAUGUUACAUAUAGUUCUGAAAUUCCUCCUCUGAGUUUUUAAAAAAACAGAUAGACCCAAUAAUCACUGCUCCCUUGGCAACGGUGCUUCCUUCUCUUCUUCAUGAACUCUUGAGGCAUUUCUGUUUUAUAAUAUUCAUCCAUGGAAGGAGGAAGUGGCAAUCAAAAUGGGAACUAAGGCACCUGGAACAGAAUUCUAGGCCUUAGUCCUCAUGCUUUCAUUUUAGCUUAAGUGGAGAAAACAAAACUUCUAAGAAAGCCAUCCUCUCCAAAAUGGGUAAAUAAUGUUGGAAUUGAAGGGGGGGGAAUGGUCUGCCGCAAUCUCCUUUAGACCUGGCCCAUUUAUCCUGAAAAUUGAGAAGAUGCUUUAGAGCUCUUCCCAAGGGCAUUUCCUACCCAUGGAUUUUCAGGAUGGAGAUCUUGAAGCAAAUGGAAGAAGAUGAGAGAAAAAUCUAGGUAGCGCUCCAUCUUGUUUUCUUUCCCACUAGAAAUCUGGUGAAUUUCUUGCCCAGGGACAGCAUGUGGCAGAAUUUGUUACAUACAUAUCUCACAUACAAAGCAAGCUAUGAGCCACCAAGUCAAGAAGGGGGAAUAAUGGAAUCAGUAGGCUGUUCGUGAGAGGUCAUGUGCUAUCUCAAAUAGUUAAUCUAUAAACCUCCAUCAAAAUCAAUCCCAUCCUUUAUAAAGGUUGAGCAUAUUUAGGCACACAUAUACUCUUAACUAGUGAUGUAUGGAAGUGGGAAGUGAGAGCUGGAUCAUAAAGAAGGCUGAUCAUUGAAGAAUGGAUGCUUUUGAAUUCUGGUGCUGGAGGAGACUCUUGAGAGUCCCAUGGACUGCAAGAAGAUCAAACCUCUCCAUUCUGAAGGAAAUCAGCCCUGAGUGCUCACUGGAAGGACAGAUCAUGCAGCUGAGGCUCCAAGACUUUGGCCACCUCAUGAGAAGACAAGACUCCCUGGAAAAGACCCUGAUGCUGGGAAAGAUGGAGGGCACAAGGAGAAGGGGACGACAGAGGAUGUGAUGGUUGGAUAGUGUCUUCGAAGCUACCAGCAUGAGUCUGACCAAACUGCGGGAGGCAGUGGAAGACAGGAGUGCCUGGUGUGCUCUGGUCCAGGGGGUCACCAAGAGUCGGACACCACUAAACGACUAAACAACAACAACAACAAUACUCUUAACACAAACACAGCACCCCAAUACAUAUAAAAUGAUGUUAUAUUGAACUCUCAAACAUAAUAAUCCAGCAUAUGUCAUUGUUACAGAGAGGCAUGUAGAAUUAGCCUGAAAAAUAUAAUUCAUGUAGUUAUAACAAAAGAUGAAAUAGUCCUGAAUUAUCAUUUGAUGUGAUAAUGAAGGCAUUUACAGCUUUGAGAUUCGAGACCGUGCCUGCAGCAUAUUUUGAUGGGAAAUAUGCCAGAAUGCCUGUAAAUGGCCAUUUGCGGCCAGAGACAGGUGGGAAAUAUUGUUCAUUAUGUGCAAUAUUGCUCCCUGUAUAAUUCUCCUAUGGACUGAUUUCUCAAAGGAAUUCUUCAGAGAGUUUUCUUAUUGAAGAGUAUGGGGGAAAUCAGUUAUUUGCUGAUGAAGGCUAUGCCUAAUGUCUGGAGAAUGUACACAAUUCCGUCGAUAUUUUGUACAUUCCCCUGUUAGCGAUUGCAUAUAUUGUCUGGGAAAUGUGCACAUUUCCCUCUUCAUAGACGGAUUAUGUGCACAUGCUCCAUGAGGCCUCAAUGGAUGGUUGUUAUCACAUUACCCACUCAACUUACAUUUUCUCUCAAAGAGACAGAGAGACAGAAGACUUGGCAGCUGACAUAAUUUCAGUUUAACUUGAAGUUGUGAUCAUACUGUCCACAGGUAAUGUUGUGAAAAGCUGGUGUUGUGAAGGAAAAACUGUUCAGAUAGGCCGGUCAUUAUAGACAUCUGCUAGGCCUUGGAUUAUUGUCUGAUUAUUGUUAUUAGAUUGUUGAUAUUAAGCAAAAAUAAUACCUUUUAUAGGAAGAAUCUUUUGGAACUUGAAAGAGCACGCUUUUACAGGAAGUAGCUUUUGGAGGUUGAGAUUUCAGCAGGAGAAACUACAUUUAAUAACCAGAACUGUGGGAGGACUUCAGCUUGGCAGCAACAGCUGAAAUUAGAAUCCAACAAAAACGAGCUUUUCACAAGGAAUUAGAAGGUAACAACACAUGAACUUGAAAAAUGUGUUCUAUUUAAACUGUUGAUUACUGAGACUUCAUUGUUCGGGUCUAUUUCAUGCACUGUUGUAAUAGCUGCAUGAGUUAUAAUUUUCAGGAUAAUUCUGUAUGCCUGACUGCAAUAAUUGUAUAUGCUGGAUUGUUAUGUUAGGGAGCACAUUAUCACACCUUUUUAUAUGUACUGGGUUCUUACCAGGGCUUUUUUCAGCUGGAACUUGCAGGAACUCAGUGCCAGCACCUCUCAGGUGUGCCCCAGUGCCAUUACAGUGGAACCUCGUUUUUUGAACAUAAUCAGUUCCAGAAGACCGUUCGACAACCAAAAACUCAAUACAGAAACCUCAGUACAAUAGGGAAACUCAAAACGGAAACCAAGUGGCAUGUUCAGCUUCCAAAAAUCAUUCGAAAACCAGAGCAGUUACUUCCGGGUUUUCGGCCUUCAAAAGUAGAAAUGUUUGACUUCCAAGAGGAUCGAAAACUGAGGUUCCACUGUAUAACAGAACAAGGGAGGUUUUUGUGGUGAGUUCCGGCACCUCUUUUUCUAGAAAAAUAGCCCUGGUUCUUACAUUCGUUUUUAUGUGUGCCUGAAAAUGAACCCAUUCUGAAAGAGAUGGGAUGGUUUUUGAUGAAGGUUUGUGGAAGAAGGGACCCUUAUUUGUGCAUAAACUUCUACAUGGAUAUGCUUGCCAGUUUAGAACCAAAGCAUGAAACUGGCCACUACGUUCCCUUGCUUGGGAGGUUCCCAGAGGGGGAAACAUCUAACAGGAACUGGGGCGUCUUUCUGGUUCAUUCAACUUCCACUCUGUUAGCUGGCAAGUGGCAAUAUGCCCCAUGUUGCAUUUUGUGAUGUUCUCUCUGCCUCUUCUCCCAUUCGCCCCAUACAUAAAAUGAGAAGGAAGACCACAAGAAUUCUUCUUGUAAGCUAGGCCCAUACCUCUGUUUCACAAGUCUUGAGACAAGACACAACCAGAACUAGAUAUAAACCAAUUCAGGCAAAUGCCCUCGGAGAGAAAUCUGGGAGUCCUCGCAAGCUCCUCCAUCAAUGGCAGUUAUCAAUCAAAGGAAAAGAAUGUCCCGAGGCUAUUAUGCCAGAAAGGCCUGCGACGUAAUGAGCAACGAAGACUGAGCUGCCGGAGUCUCCCCAUCAGGGCUUUGCAUCAAAAAAAGCUGAAGAUGUGUGGUACCAUAAAGCAGAAUACAGCCUAGAGCUGCUGCCUUGUGUUUGUUUAGUGGUUUAGUCGUGUCCGACUCUUCGUGACCCCAUGGACCAGAGCACUCCAGGCACUCCUGUCUUCUGCCUUAGUAGGCUGCUGCCUUAAAGGUAAAGGGGCCCCUGACCAUUAGGUCCAGUUGUGACUGACUCUGGGGCUGCGGCGCUCAUCUCGCUUUAUUGGCCGAGGGAGCCGGCGUACAGCUUCCGGGUCAUGUGGCCAGCAUGACUAAGCCGCUUCUGGUGAACCAGAGCAGCGCAUGGAAACGCCGUUUACCUUCCCGCCGGAGCAGUACCUAUUUAUCUACUUGCACUUUGACGUGCUUUCGAACUGCUAGGUCGGCAGGAGCAGAGACCGAGCAACGGGAGCUCACCCCAUUGCAGGGAUUCGAACCGCCGACCUUCUGAUCAGAGAGUCCUAGGCUCUGUGGUUUAACCCACAGCGCCACCCGUUGGAGUAGGCUCCAACUGCAGUAUAAACUUAAAGUAGUAUCAUACAACUUUAAACUUCAGUGGUUUCCCCCAAAGAAUACUGGGCUGUGCAGUUUUUGAGGGUCCUGAGAGUUCUGAAGGGUCCCGGAGUUCUGAAAGAUUGAUUGUUAAACUACUCUGCUGCUCAUGUAUAUAUAUAUAUAUACUUAGCCUAGUCUAUCACAAGGCUGUCACAGAGAUAAAAGAAUGCGGGGAAUCAUAGGGCUCACUGUGAACUUCCUGUUUCUGGAUUUGCCCAAAGUAUAUCCCACCCCAUAAUCAGGCAAAUUCCAAAAUGAGAAGAAAUGAAAUCAGACCUCCUGGAACUGGGACAAGACAUUAUGUCAACAGGUUAGGGUGAUGGGUCAAAUCAGCCCAACAAAUGUGCAUAUUACUUAGAGAAUGUGCAAAAUUCAGCUGAAAUAGGCACUUUCUCCAAGACCUGCUGGAGAUUGUGUGCAAUCCCCUUCUCGUGGUCAAAUUACGUGCAUGUUCUCCAUGAGGCCUGGUAAAGGUGCACAAUGGCCGGCUGUUGUGCAGAUAAACCUCUUAAUUUACAGGUCCCCUAACAUAUCCAUUGAUGUGUGCUACAUCUGUAGUUUUGCAUAACUGUGAAAUUAAACCAAACCAGUCUUCUCCCUCUUCUCCCUCUGACCACUCAUCAUCAUCUCACCACCACUCCUCAGGCUCUGAGCCUUCUUCCCUAGGUGGUUCACGAGUUGGUUCCUCCCACCAUUCCUCUGCGUCCAACCAGUCCAUGGCACCAAAGAUGGGUACAGCUUCUUUGCCUUCUUCCCUCUGCAGAACUAAUGCCAUAUUUGAGAGAGUGGAUCUAGAGUUGGAAAAAAUACAGGGAGAAAGGUCAAAGCAUCCUCUCCAAAAGCACAAUUUCCCCUGAUCUUCAAAAUUGCCUCAGACCUGCUAGGAGUAAUGAAUUAGAUCAAAACUGCAGGAUAUUCUACUAAUGAAUUGCUCAUGUCCCCUUUUGAAAGGAUUGUAAAACUUUGCCUCUGGAGAUGCUUUUUUGGGGUGGGGUGGGGGUUGGUUCUGUGAUUCACUGAUGUUUCAUGUCAGUAUAUGAGUGCAGAUUCUGACAUUCACCCACCAAAACCUAUUAACACUUGGAAACAGGAAAUACACAAUACUGAAACUAUUCAGAGAAAAUCAAUGGAGGUCUCUAAUGAUGUUAUCCUAUGUGCACAUCCAUUCCAAUUCUUAAUUUGCUAACGACUAUCAGCAACCCGUUAAGUAUCAUUGGGAAGUGAUAAAACGCCUUAUGUUUCAUUAUAUUGUUCCAAGCACACAUCUCUUCCCUAGCAAUUGAAACUCAGAGAGUACAGCAAGCCCACGUCAUUAUGUCAAAUUAAGCAUUUAGUGGAAUAGCCUUAGUCAACAGACUAAUUUCUACAGCUAGCAGUUAACUGAGGUUGGGUUCCACAAAAUUCCCAGGAAUUUUUUGUGUGCUUUUUUGUGCAUUUUAGUAAAGCUCUGUACUCUCACAAGAUCAAGGGACAGAGAUGGGAAAGAGUUUUUAACUAAGCAGCCUUACAGCCUGCCUCUCCAGCAAUUACAGUAACUUCAUUUCAUUUCUAAAAUCAACAACUUUCCCCUUUAUGCCACCCUUACUGACUCCCCCCCUCAUUGGAGAACUCUAUAUCCACAGCAAAUAUUGACUCCCAGUAGAAUAUGUGAUCUCCCUUCUGAAAUGUGAAUCAAUUCUGUAUCUGAAUUUACUUACUAAUUGUGCUGUUUCGAAAAUAAUGGUGUGCUGAAGGCCCCUUUUGUAGGGGAAGAAAACUUUCAGGAACUGAUGUACGUGUUUUGGCACAGUGCUUCUUAUUAACUAAACCCUCGUUUUUAAUCUACAAUAAAAAUCCUUGUCAUAUCACGGCUGAUUCUAAAUUGGUAGUAUAGAAAUAUGGUGCUGGAAGAAUUAAGCACGUUACAGAUUAAUUUAAAAUAUUAUAAUAGGUUAUUUUAAUUUUUGUUCCGCUAAUUUUCGUCCAUAGUUUAAAUUGUGUUCAUAAUUAUUUUUUAAAUGGGAAUGAAUAAAACCAUAGUUAUAGGAAAUAUGAACCAUCUGAAGAAGGUCUGACGUAUGUGCUCUACAUCCUUUCACAUGGCUCCAAAUAAUGUGUUCGGGCUGGCUAGCAAUGACUGAAACAAUUUAAAACAUCCAAGAAAAUGGAGCAAAUUAAAAAAUACGGCAUUCCUAACUGUAACAUAACCAUAAAAAUUAGGAAGGAGUGGAUUCCCCACAUCAACUCAUUAAAAACAAUUAGAAAAAUAAGUGUAAUGUAAAGCAAAACAGAAAUGAUUUUUAAAUCAUUUGCUUAGACAUAAUAUAAACCAGGCAUGAAGGAGUCUCUAGCCAUGCUCCCAAUUUGGCUUGCGAGGCCAUUUCCCACAAAUCACACCCACCUCCCCCAUGCCCAAUGUGUACCCUCCCAACAUUUCUCUGGUGAAAAUAGGGGUGGCCUAAUCCAUAAUAAAAGGGUGGCACUGUGGUCUAAACCACUGCACCUAGUACUUGCCGAUCGGAAGGUCGGCGGUUUGAAUCCCUGCUACGGAGUGAGCUCCCGUUGCUCUGUCACAUUGGCCCUAGCUAUUCAUUUAGUGCCUGUGCUUUUUGUAAUCUUCAUUAUUUAACCUACACUCUCUUUCUGUUCUGCCAUUCUGUUAUUCUGUGGUCCCCUCCUGGUGUCUUCCAUCAAAAAUAAGAGUUUCAGAAAGGUUCAUAGUGGCAUUUGUACCUUGUCUCCGAUGUGCUCUGCCCCACUUUCUUUCUAAGUGGGAUCCUGUAGCAUCUUGACUCCUAAUGCCUUGCUCUGCGCAUGAUUGUUUCCAGCAAUGGCUAGUGCAGCAUGACAAAGGAAGAGAACAGUGCUCUACAAGUCUACACAAGAUACCCUCAUAUACAAGACAUAGGCUUAUCAGCUUGACACGUGACAACUCAAAAUGUGUAUAUGCUAUAAUGCCUUGCUCUGUACCUGAUUCUGUUAGCACACAGCCAAGACAAGCAUCAUUCUCUGGCCAGUCAAUACCCUGCUAAGAACAAAGCACAGUCCCGAAAGGCACAAUCUCUCUCCCCAUAAGGGAAUCAACAGCAGCAGCAGCAUAUGUUGUUGUUGUUUCUGUGCAACCGUUCUUCAAACUGGAGCCCAGGGCUUUUGCAGUUCAUCAAAGCUAUCCAGCAAUAUCAAGUUAUAGGGAAACUGGUGCUAUUAACAGUAAUCCUUCUAGUUGGUUAAUUGGUUCGGCAACUUCCAUGCACAUGUCGCGUGAUGCUAAUUAUUUCCCCCAAGAGUUAAAUGAUGACUAAUCGGAGGCAGCUACAGUUGCAAAUGGCAACAAAAUAUCUGUGAAAGAAAGAGGAACAGGUUUGCUCAAGUGUGUUGCAGGUAGAAAUACUGUUUGUAAUGAAGUGAGAGCAGUAGUUUACUUGCUUGAAUUAGCAAAUAAGAAAGUUUUGAGAAUUUAAAUUCUGGAUUAAAAUUGAUUACUUCAUUGAGAGGGGGAUUGUAACAAAAACACCGGGGCCUAAUUUGAAUAGUAGAGUGCCUGGUAUCUGGUGGGCAAUCUCAUCCUUUAUUUCCACACUGUGGCUGUAGACCAAAUCACAGGAGAGUUAUGAGAUUCAGGUGAGGGUCAGAUGCCUUGUCAAUCCCAGCAGGUAUAUAAAACGACUGCCCUAGCCAGACCUUCGCCCUAGCCGGGGUUUUUUUAAGAAAAACAUUACAACUUCAUUUUCCUAACAAAUAAUGCUUAUUCCACAAAAGGUUUACAAAGUUCAGUUAUUUUUUAAAAAAUUCAGUGUUAAUUUUAUGCAUUUUUUAAAAUCACCAUGGUAUUUAACAAUAAUAUCUUAUGUCCUUUAGAGGAGAAAUAGUGAAUUUUAGAAUUUUAAAUACCCGUCAUCAUCCCUGGCUUCACUCAAUUUUGUUUAUAACACUCUUCCUUUUCCUUCUAGUUGUGAGGGUGGGGGAUGGGGAGGGGCCUCAGAAGUAGAGUAGCCAAGGGCCUCUCUUCAUCUAAAUCUGGCCCUGGCUGCGGAAGCCCCGUCGGACGUUCGAAAACCGGAACACUCACUUCCAGGUUUCGAUCGUUUGGGAGCCAAGGCAUUCGAGAUCCAAGGUACGACUGUACAGUGGUACCUCAGGUUACAGAUGCUUCAGGUUACAUACUCCGCUAACCCAGAAAUAUUACCUCGGGUUAAGAACUUUGCUUCAGGAUGAGAACAGAAAUCGCGCGGCAGCAGCAGGAGCUAAAGUGGUACCCAUUAGCUAAAGUGGUACCUCAGGUUAAGAACAGUUUCAAGUUAAGAACGGACCUCCAGAACAAAUUAAGUUCUUAACCCAAGGUACCACUGUACUAUUCUUUGGUUCAAGGUAACCCCCUCCUCUUAAGAAACAGAACCUUUAAAAUUCCUCUCCUCUAGUCAGCAAGGUUGCAAAUCACCCCUGUGUCUCAAAAACAAAUAUCAACCUCUACAUAUGAAUGGAGUAGAAAUUUGACCCAGUUUUCAUUUAAAUGUGAAUCUACCCAUUUUGCUUUUUCCAAAGCAAGACACAAACUGUAACAAACAUCUCUGAAUUUUGCAACGCCAAGUAAUGUGUGCAAAAAUUGCACAGUCCUGGGUAAUGUGUGAAUAAAAAUGCAUAUAUCAUUAAAAAUGGCAUGCAAAUCAAUUCCACUUUAUACUGUCAAAAGCAGAAGAGAGUGAGUUAGUUAUCUCUCUGCUGCUGUGAACAAGUGAUAGAUUAGAAAUUCAUUACAUGAUCAUCUCACAAUUAAUUAAGCUUCUAAUGUGAUGAAUUGCAAAUAACAGUUGCCCUUAUACAUUAAAAUCAUUUGAACAGAAGAAGCACACUUUGCCAUGAAAUACACCCAUGUUUUCAACCUCCUAACUCCUAACCCUUUGCUAAGAGUAAAUAAACAAGUAGCUUGCUCAUAAAGUACUUAAGAGAGAAAUAGAAGCUGUAUUUCUGUUAGCACUGCAGCUAAACAAUUAUUGGUCCAAUUAAUGUGACCGUAAAUCAUAUAUAUUGUCAUACAUCUAGGGUACUGGAGUCUGUUAGUGAAUGGUAGAAAUUAAUAAACAGGAGUAUUUAGAUAUUGUUUGGGAUAUGAAGGGAAAUGCAGGCUGCAGAAUUGUGCCAGACAGGAAAUUCCUGGGUUAGCGUAUAAAAACCAAGCUGGCCAGGCUAGCUAAGUGCAGAGCCGUUGAGAAACAAAGGGGAGUCAGGUGCUGGGCCAUUUAGGAUAGUGUUUCCCAAAGUGGAAGAUGUUGCCUCCUGGGGAGUACUGGAAUGAUCCAGGGAGGCGGUAGUAGCCUUGGAUGCAACUGGGGGACACUGAAUAAAAAUGGCGCUGUGGGUUAAACCACAGAGCCUAGGACUUGCCGAUCACAAGGUCAGCGGUUCGAAUCCCCGCGACGGGGUGAGCUCCCAUUGCUCAGUCCCUGCUCCUGCCAACCUAGCAGUUCGAAAGCACAUCAAAAGUGCAGGUAGAUAAAUAGGUACCGCUCCGGCGGGAAGGUAAACGGCGUUUCCGUGUGCUGCUCUGGUUCGCCAGAAGUGGCUUAGUCCUGCUGGCCACAUGACCCAGAAGCUGUAUGUCGGCUCCCUUGGCCAAUAAAGCGAGAUGAACACCGCAACCCCAGAGUCGGUCACGACUGGACCUAAUGGUCAGGGGUCCCUUUACCUUUACCUUUACAAGCAUAAAGAAAGAAGUGGUGUAGUGGUUCAGAGCGGUGGAUUCGUAAUCUGGUGAACCGGGUUCGCUUCCCCACUCCUCCACAUGCAACUGCUGGGUGACCUUGCGCUAGUCACACUUCUCUGAAGUCUCUCAGCAUCACUCAUCUCACAGAGUGUUUGUUGUGGGGGAGGAAGGGAAAGGAGAUUGUUAGCCGCUUUGAGACUCCUUCAGGUAGUGAUAAAGCGGGAUAUCAAAUCCAAACUCCUCCUCCUCCUCCUCUUCUUCUUCUUCUUCAUCAUCUGUUGUUUAAUUAUGUUUACUGACAGUGCUUUUUGUCCUAAAAAAAUGUUUAGGGGUACUUGCAUUUUGACUCAAGAAAACCACCAUUUUAUAGUUCAAAUCGGGAAAAAUAAAUACAGUGAAUGGAUAAAAGUAUGAAGAUUUACAAAAUGUUUAGGGGUAUGUAUCCCCCUUGAAAAAAGCACUGCUUACCAAUGAAAAAUAGAGUACCGAUGUAACAUAGGGAUGUGGGUGGCGCUGAGCCUCUUGGGCCUGCCAAUCAGAAGGUCAGUGGUUUGAAUCCCCACGACGGGGUGAGCUCCGGUUAUGUCCCAGCUCCUGCCAACCUAGCAGUAUGAAAGCAUGCCAGUGUGAGUAGAUAAAUAGGUACUGCUGCGGCAUGAAGGUAAAUGGCGUUUCUGUCAUGUUUAGCAGUAAAUUCAUGCUGGCCACAUGAGCCGGAAAGCUGUCUGUGGACAAAUGCUGGCUCCCUCGGCCUGAAAGCGAGAUGAGCACCACAACCACAUAGUGCCUUUGACUGGACUUAACCGUCCAGGGGUCCUUUACCUUUUUUACCUAGAGUUAAAGUCAUAGUGAUUAUUUUCCAAAUAAACACACAAAAUGCAAGUUAUAACCAACUAGUGGUCAACUCAGCAGACACAAAUUUGUCACUGCAUUUUUCUGUUCGUUCACUUAAAGAAGGCAGAUUUCCAGGGGGGGGGGGCACUGAGUAAUUCUUCUGAAAAGUACAAAUCUUCUGGACAAUACUCUCCUGGAAUGACGUAUGAUUCCAGGUGGCUCAAGGCUUUGUUUGGAGUGCACAUUCACAGUUCACUAAUAUAUAAUAAGGUUGUUACAAUGGGCCAUUACACUUGACAGCACACAAAGUAUUGGGCCACAUGCAAUGCUAAGCCAUCUCAUAGAUGACAUUCUCGCGAAGGUGUAGGUGUAUCAUUUGGGGGGCACAUAAAGCAUACUGUGGGGUGUAUACACAGGGCCGGAUUGAGGUUUGAUGAGGCCCUAAGCUACUGAACGUAAUGGGGCCCUUUAUAUGUCCAGCUGUCCUUUGUCAACAACAAAUUGUUGAUGUUUUUUGUGUUGAAUAUAUGCUAUAUGGUAAUUUAUGGACCUAAUAGGUAUCUAAAGCCAUUUGCACAUGUGGCCACGCAACCAGUCCAUGCAGAAUGUAGGCACCCUAUAUACAGAAAGGAGCAAACCAGCGAUAUUUUAGGGAGCUGGAUAGCAGGCGGGGCCCAUUUUACUUACAUCAUAGGAGCCAAAACAACACAAAACGCUAUUACUGUAUGUAGGUUUUAUUUUAUUUGUUUUUUAUAUUAUAUUUUGGAUAUGUACAUCCAGGUUUUUUCCUUUAAAUUUUUUGGGGGCCCCCAAGAGAAUGAGGCUCCAAGACUUUGGCCACAUGAUGAGAAGAGAAGACUCCCUGGAAAAGACCCUGAUGUUGGGAAAGAUGGAGGGCACAAGGAGAAGGGGGCGACAGAGGACGAGAUGGUGGGACAGUGUUCUCAAAGCUACCAGCAUGAGUUUGACUAAACUGCGGGAGGCAGUGGAAGGCAGGAGGGCCUGGCAUGCUCUGGUCCAGGGGGUCACGAAGAGUCAGACACGACUAAACAACUAAACAACAACAAAUACAUCUCUAGUUCAUUAUUCAUUUUAGUAAAUAUUUUUGGGGGGGGUGAGUUUUUGGCAUGCACUGUCAUGAUUGGCAGUGGGCUGCACAGUCACCUCAUCUUGGGUUGGAGCAGGGCCCCUCCCAUUCCGAGAGCUUGGGAAGAGGCCUGAGCGACCAGACGACAGCUUGAAAUGAAGUGAUUGAAAUGAAUCAGUAGCUUUAUGGACAAAGCAAUGCUUCAUUCAGAGAGCAGUACUAUUUCCAUAUAGAAAAUAUUACGAACUUUGAAGAAUGAAAUGGCAACAUAAAGUAGAAUGCGCUACAGCAAUAUAAUACAGAUGGAGGAUGGGAUAAGAAUAGCAUGGUAAAGGAAUGACAAAGGAAUGAAUCAAAGUAAUUUUAAUAAGAAUCCUAGCCUUGCAAUUUCCCUCCCUAACUAGAGAACUAGCCUCUUUCAAAAUGGAUUUCUAAGUUUCCUAGCAUUUUGGAACAAAAACACACAGCCAGAGCCAUGGUGCUAGGAUCCUGCUAUCGCCAGCUGUGUGAGAAGGAGAAUGAGGCCAUGUGCGCAUGUAUGUGUCUGUAUAUGUGUGAGAUGUUGAACAUCGUCUUAUUUUGGUCAGGAAUUGGACCAGAUUCCCCCCCCCCAAUAUUUUCUAUGAAUUUCAUCACCUACAUAGGUAGGGAACCACAUUGUAGGUUACGGGUACCUGCAAUCUAAGCGGGAGAAAGUGAGGCUGGAAACUUUGCUUUUUAGCAGGACUUUACUCAGGUUGCUUUAGCAUAUUCAGGUAUAGUAUUUAAAAAUUCCAGUACAGUCGUACCUUGGAAGUCAAACGCCUUGAGAGAUGGAACAUUUUGGCUCCUGAACGCCACAAACCCAGAUUUGAUUCUUCCGGUUUGCGAACGUUCUUUGGAACCCAAGCACCUGUCGCAUUUUCCAGUUAGCUACAGGAGCUUCCUGCAGCCAAUCGGAAGCCGUACCUUGGUUACUGAAUGUUUUGGAAGUCAAACGGAAUUCUGGAACGGAUUCUGUUCAACUUCCAAGGUACGACUGUAAUGUUAUUAUUUCACAUCUGCUGUGGUGUUCUGUUCCUCCCAGCACAGUGUUGUGAUGGAGAGAGAAAUCACUAUCUCUUCUCUUUAGAGACCAGUCUCUAUUAGAGAGCAAAGACAGUUAUUGUCCUUCCAAUUGCAGCACAGGAACAGGAACCAGCCAUGUACCCCAUGCAGCGAGCUAAUGUGGAGUGCAGUCUCCUCCCAUCUCUUCAGUGGAUCUUGAACCCUUUCCCCAAGGAUACUCAGGUAUUUUCCAUGCAUAUCUCCAGCCAAGAAGCUAGUCAGAUUCUGCAUUGCAGAUGCCUUUGUUCUAUGAAUUUACAAGGGAUAUUUGUUUACGUGUAUGGAGGGAUUCCACGAGACUCCCCAUUGCUAAGUUCUUCUCACAACGGCUCGCAUAGUGGUAGGGUUGCCAGACCUCCAGGUUUGCUUGCCCUGCUCCGGGUGGUAUGUGGAGGGCUUGAAUCUUCAUUGGGUGAGAAUGCCUUUAAUUAAAACAGGGGGGUAUUAAGAAGGCUGUGUGUCCAGCUUGCAAGCUUCAGCCUGGCAGAAGCUGGCUGUAAAUUAUAGCAUAGAUACUUGCCCUGCUGUGCUCCCCUCUCCCAAGAAAUGUCCAUCUCCAGGGCCUGUCACAUGACUUCACCGGGGGCUUCACUGCCCUCAUAGUGGGCCACCCCUAGGUCUCAGCUUUGGGCUCUGAAAUAUCAGGGUCUGGGAUGCCCCUGAUCUAGCAAUCCUACAUAGUGGUGUUUUUCUGCCUGGCAGAUCCUGAGAUAGAGAGACACCCAAGGGGAGGGCUCUCCUGGUUGCCAUGUGUGGACUAGCUCCUUCCAUGCCUACCUAUGGUGCGGUCAUCUUCCACACACUGCCCUACAAUUUGCUGGGAGUUGGUGUUGAGGAUGUGGCUGUUAUGAUUUAGACGUCUUUUAAUAUGUAAACUUUUCACUAUAUAUGAAGACCUGCCUAUAUCACAACAUUUUUAGUUCUCCUAUUAUGUGUUAUAUUAGGCCUCCAGAUGCAUGCUAUUAAGCCUUUUAUAAGGUUUCUAUUUGCACAUCUAAGUGAUGCGAGUGAGGAGGGAUGGAUGCUCAGAGCACACCGGUGCCUCAAAACAGGGAAGGUUAUCUUCAUUCGGCUUGCUAUCUCACAACCGCUGGCGUUUCUGAUGCAGCAACGGCUGUGAAUGUUGCAAAAACCAGAAUGGCCGCCUAAUCUCCCCAGAACUACAUGAAACAGGGCCCAGCCAAGCCUCCAUCACAGUCACCCAAUAUUGGCCCAUGAUCAAACACUGUGAGCAUGCUAUUGCAACAAAGGGAUUGUGAAGAGGGAUGCUUGAGCAAUUGAUUCCCUGAGAGUUGGGAGAAAGAGUUUAAGAGCUGAGGCAGAAUACAGCACCUUUGGACAAGAGCUCAGUAUCUACCUGGAGCAGCCCGGCUCCUACCUCUUUCUCCCCACACUCCUCCUUCUGGUUAGCCAGAAGAACAAUCCUCAGUAACCGUAAUCAUAUAAUUGUAGAGUUGGAAGGGACCACACCAGUCAUCUAGUCCAGACCCUCCAAGUCUCCCUAUUUUCCAGGGACGUCCCUGAUUUAGAGAAGCCUCCCCUAUUUCUGAUUUGAUCCCAGAAUGUCCUGCUUUUCAUUAGGGCGUCCCUCCUUUCAUUGCAGAAAUGUUGGAGGUUAUGGUAAAGGGAAAGGUAAAGGGACCCCUGACAGUUAAGUCCAGUCGCAAACGACGCUGGGGCUGCGGCGCUCAUCUCGCUUUACAGGCCGAGGGAGCCGGGGUUUGUCCACUUCUGCAGACAGUUUUUCCGGGUCAUGUGGCCAGCAUGACUAAGCUGCUUCUAGUGAACCAGAGCAGUGCACAGAAACGCCGUUUACCUUCCCGCCGGAGUGGUACCUAUUUCUCUACUUUCACUGCGUGCUUUCAAACUGUUAGGUUGGCAGGAGCUGGGACCAAACAACAGAAGCUCACCCCAUUGUGGGGCCUUGAACUGCCGACCUUCCGAUUGGCAAGUCCAAGUGGCACAGUGGUUUAAACCACAGCACCACCCGUGUCUCUGGAGGGUAUGGUAGGAUGUCCCUAUUUUCACUGGAGGGUAUGGAGUUAUCCGACCCCCAGGCCAUCUGAAGACAAUCCUGUAUAGGGAAGGUGUUGCUGUUUUUAAUGUUUUAUUAUGUUUUUAUGUGUGUUGGAAGCUGCCCAGAGAGGCUGGGGCAACCUAGUAAGCUGUGUGGGGUAUAAAUAGUAAAAUUAUCAAUAUGGGACGUCCCUAUUUUCAUCGGACAAAUGUUGGAAGGUCAGGCUAGUCCAUGACUCUGCAAUGCAGGAAUAUGCAGCUGUCCCAUACGGGGAUCAAACCUGCAACCUUGGCAUUAGCAGCGCCAUGCUCUAACCGAUUGAGCUACCCAGGCUAGUCAGAAUCAUAGAACCAUAGACUCACAGUAUUGUAACGCUGACCUGACUCCCUCAAGUUGUUUAGGACCACAACAUCCCUGGUCAUUGGCAAUACUGGAUAGGGCUGAUGGGGGUUAUACUAUAGGGCACCACAUUGGGGAACCCUGUUCUAUAGCAUCAGAAAAAGUUGCUUGUUUGCCAUGUGCAGAGCCAAAGGCCUAGUGAGAUUCCACAUCAUUUUCUGCAGCUUUCUUUUGCAUUCCCCAUAACUCCAUCAAGAAAACAUUUAACAAGUUAAUGUUCAAAAGCCACACUUAAUAUCACUGUCCUUUAACAUAUACAGGGUCACUAGGCAGUGUAAAGGUAUAUUAGAAAGUUAUGGAACUUGAUUUGAAAACAGAUGAGGAGUGGAGGAAGUUAAUGUAAGUAAAAUCAUAAAAUGAAUUUCAUGUAUCAUUAAUUCUGAUAACUGAUUUUAUUGCUUUGGAAAAUUAUGAUGGCAUUCUGCUACAAAUACUUAACCUAAUUUAAAUUUCAGAAUACUUUAUUUCUAGCAAAUCACUGUAAGCAAUAUUUUUAAUCAGUAGAGUGGAGCUAAUUUAUGUUUCAGAUGGUUAAGGAGAGAGGCUUGCUAAGGCAAGGUUGUUGGGGGGAUUUUACUACUGCAUUUUAAAAAAAAUUGUUGGUGGUGGAGAAACUAAUGAAUGCCCAUAAUUUCAUUAUAAUUUCCAUAUAAAAUAUAAACAACAACCAGCAUCAUUGUUGACGUUGCUGGUAGUCACCAAGACACUAAUUCAGGGUUGGCUAACCUCUGACCUUCCAGAUGUUUUUCAAGAAUUCUACUCGCCCCUAAACAUUGGCCAUGCUGGCUGAAUCUGCCAGGAGUUCGAAUUUGACAGCACAUGGGGAUCCACAGGCUAGCCACCCCUGCGCUAACUGAUGCUGUUGUCAGUCCCCAAGAUUUCAACCCUGCCCAUUUUCACUGGCAUGUUAAGCCCGCCUUGCUUGAAGCGUUAAUAGGCAUGAGCCACAAAAAGAGAUGACUUCACAAUAAACUGUUUGGCAGGAGCUCAUUCUCUCUGACCCGUCUUUCGUUUCAGCUGGCUCUUUUGUACUAAAUGCAUUUGGAAAGGAUAAUGCAAAAGUCUUCCUUUUAUAGGCACCAGAGAUUAACUCACUCAUUCGGUUUACUUCUAGGCAGAGCGGUAAGAGACAUUGAGAAAUACUUGGCAUGUGAACCGAAGUAGUCAAAACACGUGGCGAUGGCCAGUAAGGAAGACCAAAAUGCUCAGGUAGGGCAGAGCACAAUUACACCUCACCGCAACAAACUGCCAACUUUUGCAGCACGCAGCCUCACUCCGUAUCAAUCAUCAUGACACCCAUGCUGUUUACAAGGUUAUAAGAUUUCAUACCAACUCCGGGUGGAACGUAAUAAUCGGGUGGCGCUGCCUCUGCAUGCUGCGGUUAAAAUUAUUUUGCCAGUGUGGCAUAGUGAGACAUGUGCAGUUGAAGGGCAGAGACAAAGAGCCCUAUAAUGCUGUCUUUGGCCACUUUGAGGAAGCACAGGUACAAAAGGAACAUCCAGCUCACUGACAAGGACAAGGUGGGCAGUGCAAGAAAUCAGGCUGGCCUUUAGACAGUCACAAUUCACAUGCUCCAUGUUCAGAACACUGUCAUAUCCCACGCUCUGCUUUUUAUACCUGUCCUGCCACCAGAAGUAAGUAAUAGUCCCUGAGUGUUUGGAACUGUGUCUGUCAGUUGGCUGGAUUUCCCGACACGCUGUGAGGAAAAAUCGCUUCCCGCCUCCUGUACUGUGAGCUGCUGUAUGUUGUGAAAGGAGCAGAGGGGAGCGAUAAUCCCCCAAGUCCUUCGUCCCCAUCUCACUGAGGCUCAGGGGUAGUAACUCAGUACCCAGGGAGGGGUUAACCCUUUGAAAUUAUCUUAAAAAUUAGAACUGAUCCACCAGAGGAGCAACUUUUAUUAUAAGCUGUACUGUACUAUAAAAUAUCCAUUUUAAUAUGGCCAGUCAGUUUUAGUUUUUUUGCAGUGGUGAUUUUGUUUUUGUUUUUUAAAUAAUAAUCCAAACAUAAAUGCUGGCUAGCAGAAACUGUGAUUCCUGUUUUCCAGGGCUUGUAGUCCCCUCAUGGUGUCAAAUAAUACAUCAGGUAUCUUAUUGUGUCUCUAUCUAAACACUCAAGGCCCCUCCAAGAGGGUUUUUAUUCUGGAGGAGAUUGCUUGAGAUGCGUGAGUUGUUGUUUUUAAAAGAGUGGAAGCCUGCAUGCAUUUUUCUGUUACUGUCAUCCACUAGUUAUGUGUGUCGUUGUUGUCCAUCUCCCCCCCCCCCAUUUUGCACAUUAAGGAAAGGAAUCGGGUAGCAAGGGCCAUCAUAACCUUGAUGUGGAUGGGGAUGAUUUACAUUUAUAUACCACCUUUAUCUUCCAAGGAUCUCAAGGUGGUGUACAUGGUUCUCGUGCUCCCCAUUUAGUCCUCCCAACAACCCUGUGAGGUAGGUUAAGCUAAAAGAUGGUGACUGGCCCAAGGAUACCCUGUGAGCUUCUUGGCUGUGUGGGGAUGUGAACCCAGAUCUGACUUUUAUGGUAGGCGAGCUAACGGUCAGUGGUCCCUUUACCUUAACAUUUCAGCCAUACACACGUCAGUGGUCCCUACACAUGCAAAACCUUCUUCAUCCUCCUGCCAGGAAAGCAAGAAGCAUUACUGAAGUUCAAGGACAUAUUCCAGCCUGAUACAGCACUCAAGGGAGGUGCAGAGCCACGCCUCUAGUAGGUGUGGCUUAAGGAGAGGAGGUGUGGCCUGUGGAGAGUGGGUGUGGCCUAGAGAGUGUUCCAAAGACUCGAUAAGGAAGCCCGGAUUGCUUCUGGGCUUGAGGCCCUCUACAUCUGCUACAAAUAGUGUGUAUACUGUAUGUACAUUUUUACAUAUCUGACUUGGCAUCUGGCACUUAGCUACAUCCAUAAAGAACAAAAUGUUUUAUAUGCGUUAUAACACUGGGAUACCAGAUGGCACCGUGAAGUCCUGUCAUUUGCCAACGUAAUUUCCCACUUUGAGGUUUACAAUGUGUUUUCCUGAAAUGCUUUUUUGAUGUGUCUAGAUCCAGCCUUGGUGUGUAACUUGUCUCAAUACAUCGCUACUUGGCUCUAUCUGUUUGAAUGCACUUUCCAUUUUCUAACUGCAGCACAUUUGUGACUUGGUUAUAUCACCCACUGACUAAACACCAGGAAAAAAAAUAUUUCUGGCAAUAAAAGCUGUUUCACACUGGAAUAGACUCCCUCAAGAGGUUGUGGACUCUCCUUCCCUGGAUGGUCAUCUGUCAUGGAUGCUUUAGUUGAGAUUCCUGGAUUGCAGGGGGUUGGACUAGAUGACCUUUGGGUGUCCCUUCCAACUCUACAAUUCUAUGAUUCUACAUUCUCCUUCAGGCCAUAGUAUUAGACUGCUAGGCUACAUCCUAGCUCCACCCGUUCAUACAAAAAAGGACCCCUACUUCCAUCUGGGUGUGCUCAAGCUUGUGAGGGAUGGAUGUGCUCAAUGAGUGUAGGAAUAAUGGAGACGACAGGAGGUUGGAUGCAGGUGAGCUGUGCAGAAGCACUCUGGCAAGCAUGCUCCAAGCAAGCUGCCGGCUAGCUCUGCCGAAGCUCCUUUUAUUAGCAGAAGUCAACAAUUGGAAACAGUAGUGAAACCACCCUGAACUUAACGUAUUUCCAUCUAAGCACAUUUCCAGCAUUAGCAAAUACACGUGUCGGCAGGUGUUUCCCUAAAAUGUCCCCUCCAAUACCUGAUUACGUCUGCAUCCGCUGUCAUUUUCCAGCCAAGUGUUAUGUCUAAAAAAACAAAUUGCGAGAGGACAAAAGGUCAGGGGGGAAACCCUGUUUUCCAGCCAAGAAGGUCAGGAAAGCAGGCAUAAUGUUCCUGGACAUACUGUUGCAUGUCUGGUACGAGGUUUGCCUUCGCAAAGCGGAGCAUUACCUCCACAAAUGAGAAAUGGCAACUGAAAUGGGAAUGGGAGCAGAUAACUGGAAGCAGAGACAUCACCUUGCCAACAAAGGUCUGUAUAGUUAAAGCUCUGGUUUUCCCAGUAGUGAUGUAUGGAAGUGAGAGCCGGACCAUAAAGAAGGCUGAUCGCCCAAGAAUGGAUGCUUUUGAAUUCUGGUGCUGGAGGAGACUCUUGAGAGUCCCAUGGAUGCAAGAAGAUCAAACCUCUCCGUUCUGAAGGAAAUCAGCCCUGAGUGCUCACUGGAAGGACAGAUCCUGAAGCUGAGGCUGCAACACUUUGGGCACCUCAUGAGAAGAGAAGACUCCCUGGAAAAGACCCUGAUGUUGGGAAAGAUGGAGGGCACAAGGAGAAGGGGACGACAGAGGACGAGAUGGUGGGACAGUGUUCUCGAAGCUGCGAACAUGAGUUUGACCAAACUGCGGGAGGCAGUGGAAGACAGGAGGGCCUGGCAUGCUCUGGUCCAGGGGGUCACAAAGAGUUGGACACAACUAAAUGACUGAACAACAACAACAACAACUAGAAGCAUUACCUUUCCUGAAUUAUUUCACAUUGUAGGGGCUGUCAAGCUGUGAUUGUUGAUAUCCAGCCACAUGUUUGGCUUUGGGGGGCAAUAACUAUACUACAGGGCCCAUUAUCAAUUUCCUUUUUACUAAGUCCUCUGAGGGUUACAAGGCAAGUUUAGGAAUCUCUAGCAUAGUGCCUGUAUUUUAAUGUUUUCUUUGCAGCGCUGUGGAAUCUUGUACUGGGCAUGAAGCUCACCAGGUCAUAAAAGAAUCCUGCUGCUACCAUAAUAGCAUUUCCCCCCUUACUUUUGACACCUUCUAUUUUGGGUUGUUUGUGAACUUUUUAUUUGGACACUCAGUCUGACCAUUAUGUUUCCCUCUCCUUAUGGUUUUGACUUUUAAAAUGAGGCUGCAUUUUAAAUUGCAUUUUAACCUGUAUUUUAAAUUGUUUAUUUCUUUUUCUUUUUUCUUAUUAUGUUUUUACUGAAAUUUUAUUGGUGUUAGCCGCCCUGAGCCCAGCUCUGCCCGGGGAUGGCGGGGUAUAAAUAAAAUUUAUUAUUAUUAUUAUUAUUUUGGGAGCUUAGGGAACACUUGCAGUAGGAAACUAUUUCAGCCCAUGUCAUGUUUGAUAAGGGAGAAAACGGGCUGAUUUCUGGUUCUGUUAGAUUAAAUUGACUUUUGAGUUAUGGUCUGAUGGCAAAUAAGUCCGCCAUCUUCUUUUGGCGUGUUUGCAUGUGGUCAGUCUCUGGAUGAGUGGGUGGCUGUCUGCAAACUUUAUGUACAACAGAUUGAGUUUGAUGAUGGGUACAAGCUGGGCUACGCAUGUGAGAAAAUUAAAAAUAAACGCAGUUAGUUUUCAGGCACAGUCAGAUUUGAAUUAAUUAGGGCCAAAUCGCUGAUUUGGGUAUAUUUGGUCUAACACUGCAGAGUGUAGGAUUUAGAGAGACACAAAGGAUUCCAAAUAUGUCAACACAGCCUAAAAGAACAGGGAUUUGGAGCAAGUCUUAGCAUUGAUUAGAUAUAUUUAAUCCUCUGACACUGAGUGCCACAUCCAUACAGAGCGGAUCACACGUACCUGCCUGAUUAGGAGUCUAACUUUUAAUGAGGGAUCUGCAGCAAAACCUGCUAGAUUUCAGGGACUGCAGGACUCUGCGGAUUGGGUGGUCAAGGUAGUGGGGACAGAGGGGAUGGGGUGGGUAGUGAUUUAUGGAGUUUUGUGCCUACCGUGAGACAGAAGCCAGAGCUGGAGGAUGGAGAGGGGUCUGAACAGUUGGAGACAGGGUAGGAGACGCAGGAAGUGGGGCUGGAGCUGGAGCUGAAGGACAAUGUGCCAGGAACUAAGGAAGAGAUGGAGCCUGAAGGGAGAGGACUGGUGGAACCCCCUUCUUCCCCUCCCUCACUGUCUCCCAGGACCAGGAGGGUCUUGAAGAGGCAAGCACAGUGACAACGUCCAUGCAGAAGUCACAGCUUACUUGCACUCGCGCCGUCAGUCAAGGGUGCUUAAGUUUGCCUGUUGGUGAGGUGCGGAACUACCAAAAGAAAAUAUAAGAGUGUUUAUGUGUUCAACGACAGCAGCAAGGAAGCUUCUUGCCCAGAGAUGGGAAGAAGAAGAAGUACUGACUAGAGAAGAGUGGCAGACCAAGCUGAUGGAAUACAGUCAUAUCUCGGGUUGAAUGUGCUUCAGGUUGAGCACAUUCGGGUUGCGCUCUGCGGCAACCCGGAAGUAACGGAGUGCGUAACUUUCGGGUUUCGCUGCUCGCACUUGCGCAGACGCAGACGCUGAAAAUGACGUCACACGCAUGCACGGAAGCAGCAAAAUGCGACCCGCGCACACGCAUCCCAAGGUACCACUGUAUGCAGAAAUGGCUAGACUGAUGGGAAAGAUCAGAAAUCACAAAAGACUGGAAUAAUUUUCUAACAUAUUUGAGAGACCACGGUAAACAGUUAAAAUCAUUGGCAGGAUUACAAUGACACUUGUAAAGUAACAUGGGUUUUGGAACUAUCAUUAUAUAAUACAGUGGUACCUCGGGUUACAUACGCUUCAGGUUACACACUCUGCUAACCCAGAAAUAGUGCUUCAGGUUAAGAACUUUGCUUUAGGAUGAGAACAGAAAUCAUGCUCCAGCGGCAGCAGGAGGCCCCAUUAGCUAAAGUGGUGCUUCAGGUUAAGAACAGUUUCAGGUUAAGAACGGACCUCCGGAACGAAUUAAGUACUUAACCCAAGUACUUAAUCUGUAGAAUCUGUAGAAAGAUUACAGUAAAAGAUGCGGGGAGGGGGGGUUAGAAUUGGAACCCAUGGAGGGAGGGAAGGAGGUCUCAAGGUUUGAAAGAACCACUUUUUAAAGGUUUGAAAAUGUUAUGUUUAUGGUGUACAACUUUUAUGUAAAACUAAUAUUUUUAGUUUUGGACUUGCACCUACCAUGGAUCCACAGAAGCUGUCCAAUCAAAGUUCUUAAGGCAAUUUUUUUCUGUAUCACCCUGUGUCCCAAAUGCAUCAUUGCACCUGGAGACCAAUCUCCCCUCUGUAGAAAUAUUCAACUUCUGGCUCUGCCUAAACUCAAAUCCCCCUGGUCUAAUAUCCCUAGUGCAACAAGACUGUCACAAGAGUGCCUGGUCCAAAAUUGUCAAUCAAAAACUUCACUCUUGUGAUUUAUCCGCACAACAGCUACUCACUGUGGGUUAUAGCAAAGCAAACAGUCUAAUUUGCCAAUGCCUAAAUGAUAUCGAGCGUCAGAACAACAUGGCCACAAUAAGGAAAUUUUGCCCAUGGUAUGACCAUUUUCCAUCCUUCCACUUUGACUCUCUGGCACCCUAUCUGUAUAAUCUAGCAGUUCCAAAAUAUAGGUGUGCCUUCACCCUUGCAAGACUGAAUGUACUGCCCUCGGCUGUACUUGAGGGACAAUUCCAACAGAUUCCAUACGAAAAACGCUUAUGUCCCUGCGGAGAUGGCAGCACUGAAUCAGUGGCACAUGCCCUCCUCACGCACACUCUUUACAAAUACCUGAGGAACGAGAUUAUCACGCCUCUUUUAUUGACCGUCCCAGGUCGCCCAACCACUGCCACAGUCUUGUUUCUCCCGGGAGAUCAAGAGAAGCAGAUGACUGCAAAGGUUGCAAGGUUUCUAGCUGGGGCAAUCAGAAUAAGGUCCACUAUUUGACUGCUGAUUCAGGACCCUAAACUGUGUUUUAUAUAAACGACUUUUUAUUUUGUUCUGUGUAUAUCGCAAUGUUUUUUGUUGCUAUCAGAGAGAUACGCCAGCUGCCAAGCCACCAGAAGCAUGCGUCUGCGUGUUUAGCGCUUCUUGGAAGCUUCUGUAAAUUUGUGCUUUGUCAACAAAGAAUUAAACUACCAGCCAUUUGUCCUCCUUAGGCUGGGUGUGCUGAGGACAGUAGAUUUUGUCCAGGGUACAUGGGGAUUAAGGGGGUUGCUUUGUACUCAAUAUCUGUAGACAAGUGCAAAAUGUAGUGUGAGAAGAAUCUGCUCUGGAUUUCACCCCUAGAGGGUUAUUGUCAGGAUAAAUGAGCUAAGAAUUGCCAAGCGCUUGGCAAAUUGACAGAGUUACACUGAUAAUGCUAAUGCUUUUGACUUAUGUAUUAUUACUCAUUCUUCACUUCCCUGAGUGGUGAGAACUUCAGGGACAGCUCUACUGGGGGUUUUUUUCUCUUGGAUGAGAGAGAACGCUGGAUUUCUGCGGUGCAUUUGAAAUACGUGUUUAUUUACAAGUAUACCAGCGGAGCACAUUUGAAUUAUGCAAAUAGACGACUCCAAAAGCGAACAACAAAAUCCCUAAUAUAUUCCAUCAAAUCCCCAAAGAGAAACUGUUGCAUCUCUGUUUCAUCCAAUUCCGGCAAAAACUAUUAUCUCCCUGUCUUGCACUUUUCCUGUGUAUGCCUAAAUUCACAGCACAAGCUGCUUCUUUAUGUCUGUGUAUCUCUUUCCCAAAUGCUAAUGGAGGUGACGUCCCAAAGGAUGGAGUGAUAUUCCAGAACAUUAAGGACUAAACAUAUUUUCUUAAGAUGCUUUUUACCCAUUAUUUUUUAGGUAGGCAAAACCUGAUUCAGAGUUUCAUAACAAGCAGAAGAGCAAAAUUCAUAACAAUGUUUAUUGCUAUUAAUGAUAAUAAAAGCUUUGGUCCAUAUGUUUAAGGAACUGCCUUGUGUUUGCCAAGCCAAAGGUUAUACUGGGCAUUGUCACACCAUUUUUCAGCCUCUUUGGCACAAGGGUUUUUUUGCAGCUGCGAUGCUUGUCUGAGCAAUUCAUGGCAUCUUGUUAGGUCAAAGUCAAGAGGUGUGAAGCAUGAAUUGUCUUCUUCAACUAACAAGGUUCUACUGUCUCUCCGUUAUGACUAGUGAGCCGUGAUUCAGCUCACCUACUACUUGCUUAAUGGUUGUGUCCACAAAGUUCUGCAAAUGUCUGUGGGGUCAUAGUAAAAGUGGUUUGUGCAUCAUUGUCGCUAUGUGGAAGAGCCAAUUAAAGCUGUGUAUAAUUUUUAAAAAGCUCUCCAAUCUCUUUCAUCUACAUGAAGGAUAUUGAAAAGCAUUUGAGGUAACAGCACCUUUCAUACUUUCCUAGGACACUGUGCAGUUGAACCUGAAUAUUAAUAGAAAAGAGGUUAAACAAAAUUUUGUUGCAUUCCACCGCAAUCUCAGAGUGGCAGGAGAUUCCAGGAGUUCCAGGCGUUUACCCUCGAGUUUUGCUUACCUUUGAAUGAAGGACAGCAGAGCCUGUGGCGUCUUUAUGAUAUAUGGUUUAUUUACACAUAUGUACAACCUGAGACCUUUGGGAAAGGAGUACGACAAGGCUGUAUAUUGUCUCCCUGCUUAUUUAACUUAUAUGCAGAAUUCAUCAUGCGAAAGGCUGGGCUGGAUGAAUCCCUAUCCGGAAUUAAGAUUGCUGGAAGAAAUAUCAACAACCUCAGAUAUGCAGAUGACACAACCUUGAUGGCAGAAAGUGAGGAGGAAUUAAAGAACCUUUUAAUGAGGGUGAACGAGGAGAGCACAAAAUAUGGUCUGAAGCUCAACAUCAAAAAAACAAAGAUCAUGGCCACUGGGCCCAUCACCUCCUGGCAAAUAGAAGGGGAAGAAAUGGAGGCAGUGAGAGAUUUUACUUUCUUGGGCUCCAUGAUCACUGCAGAUGGUGACAGCAGUCACGAAAUUAAAAGACGCCUGCUUCUUGGAAGAAAAGCAAUGACAAACCUAGACAGCAUCUUAAAAAGCAGAGACAUCACCUUGCCAACAAAGGUGCGUAUAGUUAAAGCCAUGGUUUUCCCAGUAGUAAUGUAUGGAAGUGAGAGCUGGACCAUAAAGAAGGCUGAUCGCCAAAGAAUUGAUGCUUUUGAAUUCUGGUGCUGGAGGAGACUCUUGAGAGUCCCAUGGACUGCAAGAAGAUCAGACCUCUCCAUUCAUAAGGAAAUCAGCCCUGAGUGCUCACUGGAAGGACAGAUCCUGAAGCUGAGGCUCCAAAACUUUGGCCAUCUCAUGAGAAGAGAAGAUGCUGGGAAAGAUGGAGGGCACAAGGAGAAGGGGACGACAGAGGACGAGAUGGUUGGAUAGUGUUCUCGAAGCAACCAGCAUGAGAUUGACUAAACUGCAAGAGGCAGUGGAAGACAGGAGUGCCUGGCAUGCUCUGGUCCAGGGGGUCACGAAGAAUCGGACACGACUAAAUGACUAAACAACCACAACCUGAGCCUACGAUGGAUGGGCUCACAGCAUUAACACCUCAAUGGGGCCUUGUUCUUCCCAUAGCCACAGCCUUAGAUUACAAGAGAAAUCGAGCAUAGCUCUGCUCCCAGCCUACAGCCUGCAAGCUUCUAGCUCAAAUAACUUGAUUAUCAACUCUAGUCUUUGUCUUAAUAAGGGAGGGGGGCCCACCCAUUUGCCGUGUGGCACAGAGCUACUUCCUGUGGUACCUUAGUAGCCCAUACUUAGGAAGCUAUUACCUCACCAAGAAACAAGCCUUGCUAGUGCAGGAAUGGUAUCCAUGCAGGAUCCAGGUAUUAGAAGGGAGAUCAAGCAUGCAGCCUACCCCCCAACUAAACUCGUAACAAUAUUUAAUUCUGUAUUUUUGGGUCAGAUGCUUUAUAAAAAUAAUUUUUUCCUUCCUUUUUAAUAAUUGCUCUUUUCUUGCUUUGAAGAGUUAUGGUGACCUGUGACAUAAGGGGCAUAUGCAGUCAUCCCUAUUCUUUGCAGUGAGUGGAGAUAAUGAGCCAAAGGUCCACUAAACAGUCAUCACAGGAAAUAAAACUUGAUUUCAGAGUAAGAGGGAUCUUCCUGACUGUUAAAAACCACUGUUGCAUUACUUCCGUUUUAUUCCUGGAGCAUUACAUGAAUGCAUGGAUUAACACAUCAUAGCCAGAAUGCUUCCAGGAUAUGGAAGGAUGCUAUAAGGCAACUAUUGGCAGUAACAACACAUGUAAUCAAUUUUCCUAUUGAGAUUGAUUACAGUUUAAAGAGCAAUGCCCUAUGAACCCCCAUCACUCCAAGAAAAUCUAUACAAACCAUUACUAUUGUAACAAAAUAUUCUGAAGCUAAGUAGCAUUAGGCACAUGGCUGGAGAGAGGCUUGGUGUCAACAGAAUAUGAGUUUGCCUUUGCCAUUCAUGGACAGUUACGCUGUUGCCAGAAAAAAUAAGCUGCAAAAGUAGAAAGAGAAGCAACCGGGUUGAACACAAAGACCUGAGAAUGGACAGAAAAGUAGAAAGAAAAACAGUGGCUGCCCUCAUCUGUCACAUCUAGUUUGCCCCCAGAGAACUAGACCACACUCUGCCUAAUGCAUGCCCUCCAACAUUUCUCUGAUGAAAAUGUUGUUUAGUCAUUUAGUUGUGUCCAACUCUUCAUGACCCCAUGGACCAGAGCACGCCAGGCACUCCUGUCUUCCAGUGCCUCCCGCAGUUUGGUCAAACUCAUGCUGGUAGCUUUGAGAACACUGUCCCACCAUCUCGUCCUCUGUCGUCCCCUUCUCCUUGUGCCCUCCAUCUUUCCCAACAUCAGGGUCUUUUCCAGGGAGUCUUCUCUUCUCAUGAGGUGGCCAAAGUCUUGGCGCCUCAGCGUCACGAUCUGUCCUUCCAGUGAGUACUCAGAGCUGAUUUCCUUCAGAAUGGAGAGGUUUGAUCUUCUUGCAGUCCAUGGGACUCUCAAGAGUCUCCUCCAGCACCAGAAUUCAAAAGCAUCAAUUCUUCGGUGAUCAGCCUUCUUUACGGUCCAGCUCUCACUUCCGUACAUCACUACUGGGAAAACCAUAGCUUGAACUAUACAGACCUUUGUUGGCAAGGUGAUGUCUCUGCUUUUUAAGAUGCUGUCUAGGUUUGCCAUCGCCUUUCUCCCAAGAAGCAGGCGUCUUUUAAUUUUGUGGCUGCUGUCACCAUCUGCAGUGAUCACGGAGCCCAAGAAAGUAAAAUCUCUCACUGCCUCCAUUUCUUCCCCUUCUAUUUGCCAGGAGGUGAUGGGACCAGUUGCCAUGAACUUUGUUUUUUUGAUGUUGAGCUUCAGACCAUAUUUUGCGCUCUCCUCUUUCACCCUCAUUAAAAGGUUCUCUGAUGAAAAUAGGGGUGUCCUAUUUAAUCAUCAUCAUCAUCAUCAUCAUACCCCCGCCCAUCUGACUGAGUUGCCCCAGCCACUCUGGGUUGCUUCCAACAUAUGUAAAAAUGUAACAAAACAUUAAAUAUUUUAAAAAACCUUCCCUAUAUAGGGCUGCCUUCAGAUGUCUCCUAAAGGUUAUAUAGUUACUUAUCUCCUUGGUUCAGGGGGGUCACAUAACUCCAUAUCCUCCUAUGAAAAUAGGGAUGUCCUAAGGAACAGCAGGACAUUCUGGGAUCAAAUCAGAAACCAGGAUGACUUCAGUAAAUCUGAGACAGUUUUUGGAAAAUAGGGACACUUGGAAGGUCUGCUAAUGCUUGCUGAAGCAGACAUUAUCUUCGCUAUUAAUUAGGGUUGCUGUACAUCCACAAUUUCCCCGACACAGCCCAUAUUCAGCCCUCGCAAAAAGCAUCUGGGCAGAAAUGACUGAAAUGUUCAGGGAAAUCCUGACACUACCAGUCCAUGUCAGUAGUGUAGAUUCUGUUGAAUUUCAUUAAAAAUAGUUCAAAAACUAAAUUUUAUUUUUAUUUAUUUUGUUGAAAGAGUUCAACAACAAAAAAAAAACUAUUGAAAUAUGGCAACCCUACUAUUAAUGAAUUAAUUGAUACCUAAAUAACAUGGGGAUGUGUCCUGAAAGGUUUGUUUGUGUGUGAGGAGGAAACAGACCUAGAAGUAAUGACUGAGUGAAAGGCCGCUGUGACAGGUAGAUGACAUAUGGAAGAAGGAAGGAAAAGAAUGGGAGCAUAACUCAAGAGAGUGUUGCCUUGCUAGUGCCCUUGUUGGCUUUCUUUACUUACAGCCGCUCAUCUAGUUAGGGACUGUGGUUUUAUUGCUUUGAGAAUAGCUCUGAGUAGGUGCAGACAUUCUUCCAUUGCUUCUGUUUUUCUCCCCAGCCAGCAAGCUCUUGGCUUUAUUCUGUCCUGCACCUGCUUUUGAUUUAUACACCUCUGUGCUAUUUAAUUCCAGGAUUGUUGACUUUUGUUUUCAGUUCAUUCUAUUACCAUCCUACCCUCCGGGCACUUUCAACCUCCACCAUUUUAUGGGUCAAUAUAUCAUGAAUGUCCAAAGCAUUAAUAUUCUAAAGUAAGAAAUGAUCCGCAUCUGACUGACCCAGUGGAAGGAAGGGGAAAUGACUUAGAAUCUAAUAAUUUGAGGCGACUGAAAUUGAACGUAGUCCAAGAAUAUGUGCAAAGGGUUAUGUUUGAAACCAAUGUCUAUUUCAAUCAUCUCAGGCCCUCCAACUGGCAGGGGAAGUCUGGUUGGCAUUGACCUGAGACAGGGCCUUCUCAGUGGUAGUUCCCUGUUUGUGGAAUUCCCUCCCUGUUGAGGUGCGUCUGUCUCCCUCACUAUUGACUCCCAGGAGAUUUAAUUUAAAAACAGUCCUGUUUCCCCAGACAUUUGAUGGCUGAAAGGCACUAGCCAUGGCACCUGUGUAAUUAAUAAGUGCACAUGCAAUUGCUUUUAAAUGUUUUUAGAUGCUCAUUUUGAAUUCUGGUGCUGGAGGAGACUCUGGAGAGUCCCAUGGACUGCAAGAAGAUCAAACCUAUCCAUUCUGAAGGAAAUCAGCCCUGAGUGCUCACUGGAAGGACAGAUCCUGAAACUGAGGCUCCAAUACUUUGGCCACCUCAUGAGAAGAGAAGACUCCCUGGAAAAGACCCUGAUGUUGGGAAAGAUGGAGGGCACAAGGAGAAGGGGACGACAGAGGACGAGAUGGUUGGACAGUGUUCUCGAAGCUACCAGCAUGAGCUUGACCAAACUGCGGGAGGCAGUGGAAGACAGGAGUGCCUGGUGUGCUCUGGUCCAGGGGGUCACAAAGAGGCGGACACGACUAAACGACUAAACAACAACAACAGAUGCUCUAGGUGUUUUUAAUGCUUCAGAUGGCUUUAAAAUGUUUUCAAAUGUUUUGUUGUUGUUGUGCUGUUCUAACAUUUUUAUGCUUAUUGCCCUGGGCUCCUUUGAGCAGAAGGAUGGGAUAGAAAUCUAACAAACAUCAUCAUCAUCUUCAUCAUCAUCAUCAUCAUCAUCAUCAUCAUAUUUACUUAAAUUCAGUGAGACAUGCAUCUGAGUAUGCACAGGGAAUGCGUGCAGGAACCUGACAUUUUCUCUUGCUGUGCAUUGCCAGUUGUGGACAAAAGAAACCUCUUCCAAAACAGUGGUACCUCGGGUUACAAAUGCUUCGGGUUACAAAUGCUUCAGGUUAUGAACUCCGCUAACCCGGAAGUAGUUGCUCUGGGUUGUGAACUUUGCCCGAGCAUGAGAACGGAAAUCACACACUUCCGGGAGGCCCCAUUAGUGAAAGCGCUCCUCAGGUUAAGAACGGUUUCAGGUUAAGAACGGACCUCCGGAACAAAUUAAGUUCGUAACCCGAGGUACCAUUGUAUGAUUUGUUGAUGAAGGAGAAGUGUCUCAAGAAGAAGAAGAAGACUUUGGAUUUGAUAUCCCUCUUUAUCACUACCCGAAGGAGUCUCAAAGCGGCUAACAUUCUCCUUUCCCUUCCUCCCCCACAACAAACACUCUGUGAGGUGAGUGGGGCUGAGAGACUUCACAGAAGUGUGACUGGCCCAAGGUCACCCAGCAGCUGCAUGUGGAGGAGCGGGGAAGCGAACCCGGUUCACCAGAUUACGAAUCCACCGCUCUGAACCACUACACCUCCCUGGCUCUCAAGAUGUAGUAUUCCUGUUCAACGAAAGGAAUACAAAUAUAGGCUGCUAGGAAAUCUCUACUCAUGUCACCCCAAAAUCCAAAACACUGUCAUGCCAGGGCCUAGCUCCACACACUCCUUUCAUUAACAUUUCAGACACCUUACAACAGGGCCAGCCCAAGACAUUUUGUCACCUGAGGCAAACCACAAAAUUCUCCCUCCCCACCAGAGAAGAAGGGGUGAGUGAAGAUCUACAUCAGGAACAAGGGAGGAAUAAGGAUCUACAUUGGGAACAAGGGUGGGAGGAGACCACCAGCGCCUCCUUUUCGCCCAAAGGCGGCAUUGGGAGGGGAGCUGCUGAGGAGCUAGCAGAUCUCCAAGGCGUGCACCACAGCUGUUGCUGCUAUUGUAGAAGCAGAAGCAGCACCAGUGGGAGAUGCAUUCUUUGCAGGCUGGAUCUGCUCCCCUGUGGAUCCUGCCAUCCAAGACAAUUGCCUCACCUUGCCUCAUAUCACCUGUGCGAUAUGAAGUCUGUGAAGUGGGGAGCCUUCCCUGAGCAUUUUGAUUUUUCGAGCGUUCCACAACAUACUGGGAGCCUCCGCAGAUUCUCAAAGCUCCCCACUUCACACCAUCUCCUUCCAUGAUUUGGAAGGCGACUGAAAUAGCAGGACUAGCACACUUGUCUCUGAUUUCCCCCUUGUGUAUUCACUUGUUCACAUUCAUAAAGCCUGACAAGCACUCCUGAGUCAAGAACAUCUUAGAGUUCCAAUCAUUGCUUUGUCAGCAGAGAAAUACCCACCAGCUGCAUCUGAUUAUGCUUAGACUAUCUUUAGAAACUAUAUUAAUUGCUCUAGCAGCCACUAACUGUGCUUGAAUGGGUUAAUUGCUGCUCUCCGUCACCUGCUUUUUAUAGUAGGACCAUUUCUUCCUUCUCUGUUCCCAUCAGUUUGCACUUCCUGAGAGCAUUGGCUGGGUUCCCGCCCGCUCUCAGCCAUUCCCUUAUCAACAGGCAUUCCAAGGGGAAGGGGAGUUGGCACCAACCGAUGCUCAUCCUGUAUGGCAGUUAACCCUCUCUGUUCCUGGCUGCUUUCUUCAAUGGUCUGCAAACCUACACUGGGAGCUGGCUGUAAACCUUCACUGGGAGCUGGCUCAUUCAUGACACCACUUGUCCCGUGCCUCUUUUCCAGGCAAAGAGGAGACUGAGAGGAGAUAUGAUAGCUGCCUUGUUUGAUAAGCUGACUGGGUCCACUACGUUUCCACUGCUCCAGAAUUUCCAGCCAGUAGCAGAGCAGCAGUGCGUGCUUGAUGUGUGAGUGAAGAGAGAGCCAGUGUGGUGUAGUGGUUAAGAGUGGUAGACUUGUAAUCUGGUGAACCGGGUUCGCGUCUCCGCUCCUCCACAUGCAGCUGCUGGGUGACCUUGGGCUAGUCACACUUCUCUGAAGUCUCUCAGCCCCACUCACCUCACAGAGCAUUUGUUGUGGGGGAGGAAGGGAAAGGAGAAUGUGAGCCACUUUGAGGCUCCUUCGGGUAGUGAUAAAGAGGGAUAUCAAAUCCAAACUCUUCUUCUUCAUACACUGUUUCUUUCUAAACUAAACAGCUUUUAUUUACAUCAGACAGAUAAAAUAACAAACACCGUCAGAGACAGCAGCCAUUGCGUGUGUCUCUGCUGCUUCUCCGUUGAGAAGUGAAAGUAACUCCACAGACAAAGAACUCAGCUCCUGGAUGUAGGAAGCUCCUCCCCAGAUGCAGGACACAUAGAGGUUAACCCUAUAAACACUAAACCUCACAUGCCUUCAAAUAUCUAAAGGGCUGUCACAUGGAAGAUGGAGCAAGUUUCUUUUCUCCUGGCUCCAGAGGGCACGACCCAAACCAAGGGCUUCAAGUUACAAGAAAGAAGAUUUCAACUAAACACCAGGAAGAACUUUCUGAUGGAAUGAACCAUUCAACAGUGGAAUGGACUUCCUUGAAAGGUGGUGGACUCUCCUUCCUUGGACGUUUUUAAGCAGAGGUCAGGUGGCCAUCUGUCAUGGUUGCUUUAGUUGCGAUUCCUGCAUUGCGGGAAGGUUGGACUCUACAAAUCUAUAAAUCUGUGGUUCUAAAUGUAAGGAACGGGGCUUUCUCCAUCAGGCAACCUUCUCAGCAAAGGCAAACAAAAUUAGCUUGGCCUCUUUUGUUGAACUUGGCUACUGCCAUCUUUUUAUAAUUGCUUUUAAUUUCAAAAGGACUUGGCCGACAGUUGCUGAUAAAGAUAUUGUUGAAUAUAAUGUUUUAUUUGUUUUAUUGCCAUUGCUUUCAGUGGUGUUGUUGUUCAUUGAAAUUGUGAUGUGCACAAGCUAGCUGUCUUAUUUCCAUGGUGCUUUCUGCUUUCCACCCAACGGUCUCUGAUUUCUAUGGAAACUCCAUGGGGCAUCUCUGAUAUCCUUGCUUUUAGAAACCGCAAGCAUAAAUUGGAAGUGCAUACAAAUGUAGAUGCUGUCCAUUGCUUUCAAUGAGACAUGCAUCUAAUGUGCAUUCAACUGCAGAUGCUGUCCUUUGCUCCCAAUAGGAUAUUUAUUUUUAGCUCCCCAGACUAGUUUGUGCAGGAGUUGCUUCAUCCAGCCACUGGUAAUAUUUUUCCCUUAGUUGGAAGUAAAGCAGAUAGAAUGUGAUAGAAAGCAGGUCUGGGAUAACUGUUUGCACCUGUGGAAUUGCAAUGUCCCCAUUGUACAUCACCCUGCAGGAUUGCUCAGGCACCCUUAGAUGAAUUAUUGGUUUCAUUGUUGUAUAUCAUAUUUUGUGCCUUUUACAGCUUAUGAAUACUAUAAAUAAUACAUAAACAAUUCCAUGUUGGAACUGAACGUGUACUUGCACAAAUGCUUAUGGGGCUCAUUUUAUUUUAUUUAUUGUUUCUCAAUGACGAUAUGCCUAGUGAGGCAUUUGUGUGAAUUUAGCUACUAAGAGGUGUGAACAUAAUCUACACAAUUUGGUUUGCACACACUGGUGAUUUGUGCUCAUGACUCACAUGGCAGGUUCACUAUGUGCACAUAAAAGCUAUGUAGAUUAAAUAAAAGUAAAAAUCUUCUAAAGGAUUUAAAAGAAGACCAGGAUUGAUGUAGUUACGUAGCCCACCGUAUGCAGAGGGUGGCACAAAAAUAUAAGGUUGUUUUUUUAAAAAAAACCAACUCAUUCUCAGCCUUGCUCCGAGUCCCACUUCAAAUAAAGCAAUCAGAUGUACCAGAAUAUCAAGUGAUAGCUGAAGCUCUUCAGACUUGCCUCCUCCCUCCCCACUUGGUUCCAUCACUGACACUGCUUCCUCAAAGGCACCCCAAUACCAGGUGCCCAAAUUGUCUGCAAUGGGUUACAAAUGAAGAGGGGGCUGUGGCAACAGUGGGAGGAAGAAGAGAUAUCAGGUAGAGGCAGUGCUUUUUUCUAAAAAAAAUGUUUAGGGGUACUCUCAUUUUAGGGACGCAGGUGGUGCUGUGAGUUAAACCACAGAGCCUAGGGCUUGCCGAUCAGAAGGUGGGCGGUUCGAAUCCCCGCAACGGGGUGAGCUCCUGUUGCUCGGUCCCUGCUCCUGCCAACCUAGCAGUUUGAAAGCACGUCAAAGUGCAAGUAGAUAAAUAGGUACUGCUCCGGCGGGAAGGUAAACGGCGUUUCCGUGCGCUGCUCUGGUUUGCCAGAAGCGGCUUAGUCAUGCUGGCCACAUGACCCGGAAGCUGUACGCUGGCUCCCUCGGCCAAUAAAGCGAGAUGAGCGCCACAACCCCAGAGUCGGCCACGACUGGACCUAAUGGUCAGGGGUCCCUUUACCUUUACCUUACUCUCAUUUUGGCUGCUCCCCCUCUCCCUCGCCCCUUUCCUCCCUCGCCAACCCACAGAUGUGGGACUUGAGGCGAUGGCGCUGCAGGAGUCAGCUUGAGCAAGAAGGGGCGAGUGCUUGCCAUCUGGCUCUACCCCUGCAAGAGGAGUAGGAGCAGCACCGUCGCCUCCACCAUGGCCACCCCAGACUCCCCUCCCCGGGCACCGGCGGGGAGAAUGACGGAGCUCCAGUCCGCGCUGCUACUGCGGAGACAGCUGGCAUGUCGGUCUGUCAGACAGGGCAACACAAAAUAUUUAGGGGUACGCAUCCCCCUGUGUCCCCCCCCCCCGAAAAAAGCACUGGGUAGAGGAUAGGAACGUUGAAGGGUUUCAGCCAGCCUUUGGUUUGCUGAAUGUCUGACAGUUCACCUUGACACAAGUAUCUGAAGAAAUGCUCCAAGCUUUCUUUAAAUUUACAUCUAUAUUCAGCUUCAGCCUAUUGAAAGCAACAGCCUCACUCUCUGGUGAGCCGAACUGCAAAAUGUUACAGUCUUGGCGUAUAGUUAGAUCUUCCUUUCAGACUGCGUUUCGGAGACACUCAACCCUGUCAAAGCCAAUUUUGACUGAAAGCCAAUUCUCCUUGUCUUGAUCCAGACAAGAAACUUGAGAAUUCUCUCUCUCCCAAUUUAUAAUGUCAGUGCAGCUAUAUGGUACCAUAUGCAUGUAGCAUUAUUGUAGUAUCCUUGUGAAUUGCUUCAGCAAUGGCUGAGAGCCAUUUGGAAAUUCACCCCCCACACUGAAACAAACGGAAGACAAAAAUACAGAGUUUCAGGAGGGGCAGAAUUGCAGUGGAGGAUGAUGUCAGCUAAAGGAAAGCUAGUUGCUAGUAGUUUGGAAUCCAACAUUGCAGCCAUGGGACACACAGAACCUGCUUUGAGCAUAAUGCUUUGAAAACUUCCACAAUAGGCUCAGGUUGCAUAUAUAUGCAUAAAUGAACCGUAUAUAAUAAAGACACCACAGUCUCUGCUGUGCCUCACUGUCCAAAUGGAAACACAGACCCUGGUAAGUGUGCCUGGCACCCCUAGAAUCUCACACUGCUUAGAGUUUGGGGGGCCAUGUAACAGUAUUGUUGUGAGUUUGUGGAGGGCGUCAGACUACCCUAAAUCUGAAUUUAAGCAAACCCCACCUUAAACUCUUGGAUCUAGCAAGGGUUGGAAUAACACAGGGCAGCUUCCUCAUGAGGCAAUCACUUGAUAACGUCUGAGUUGUUAACCUGACGAAAAGUAGGUAGAUGGGCCACAGGGAGAUUCAGUGCCAGACAGCCAAAUGGACCCUCGUUUUAGUUGGUAAAACUAAAGGCCAGUGUUAUUUUUUAGGAUUACAGUUGGCAGUGAUGUACUAGCAAAACUGUGACAGACUGUAGAAAGGAGACAAAAAGCAUGGCUGAUUUCUGUUUCGUAUCCAAGGCUGCUGCCCCUAUGGGAAAAGCAAGAGACCCUCUUGUAGUGUAAUGCUGGGAAAUGCUCUCCAUCGUAGGCGCAGGUUGUACUGUAUAGAGGUGUAAAUAAACCAUAUAUCAUAAAGACACCACAGCCUCUGCUGUGCCUCAUUUCCAAAGGAAACAUAAACCCUGAAUAACCCCUGUAAUCUCACACCACUCAGAGAUUUGGGUGCUGUGUAACAGUAUUUUAAAGCAGGGUCUCUCUCUCUCGCACUCUCUCUCUCUCUCUCUCUCUCUCUCUCACACACACACACACACACACAAAAUGUUAAUAAAAAACAAUUGUUAGGAAUUACUCAAGUAGUGAGAAGAUAUACCACAAACAAAAGCCUGUCCGGUCACACAGUUCACAGCAAACAAUGAGGGGCUAACAUUAAAAAACAUUUUGUUCACGUGCUUACAAAGCUUUGUCACACGUAGUUCCAUGCAAUCGAUGAUGCUCCAUAAGAGUUUCAACAAAAAUAAGAAGCUAACGCGACUUUUGCACUUACAACCUGCAAAGCAGCGUGACACAUUUGAACAAUCUCAUUUUGCUUGCAAAGCUGCGUAAGAACUCCCGGGGGAAAUGGCGCUCAGUUCAUAGUACAACCUUGAACGUUAUGAGCUGGACAGUCUCAUAUUCUGGACUAGGUAAUUAUGAACUCCAGCAGUUAUUAAUUCCUUGACCAGUUCUUGGCUUGAGAUUGCAUGCUGUCAACACAAGAGCCAUUUCUACAGCUCAAAGAAUGCAGCACUGCCAGUUAUUCAGCUGGUAUGAAUAAAUGUGCCAUUUGCAGAAAAAAGGUCUAGAUUAUGCCUUUUAUCCUUAUGCCUUUCAUUCCUGUGAAGUAUAGUCCCGUGCUGACAAGACUAUAAAUUGUUCCACAGAUAUACAUACUUUUGUUCUAAUAACAUCCAUCGUGUAUAAUAUUUCAAUAGUAUAUGAAGUGCUUCCUUGUUACUUAUUUUUAUGAGCGUCUGCACUGCACAUGGCAUAUAUUAACAUUUACUGUUCCUUAUAAUGGGAUCAUUUGGGAUACAGCUCCCCAUUGUUAUUAUCUUCACUCUGUUUUGAAAGUAUAAUAGGCAUACAUAUCUUUCAGUGUGCAUCGCUCGUAAGAGUGGCUGCUUUUAAGAAAGAUAGACAGAUAGACCUACGGCACAAGCACGGUUGCGUUUAUCAUUGACAAUUGUGCAGUGUAUAUGAAGGUACAGUGAGCAAACUCAGCUCAAGGUGGAGGCAAGUGUCAGCUGCAGAAAACCCCUCAAGUAGCUGCAAACCCAACUCAUGCUGGGUUUGAUCCAAGUUGUCGAGAUUCAUGCAGCCACUUGGAACAGAGGCAGGCAACCUAAGGCCCGUGGGCCAGAUGCGGCCCAUUCGCCUUCUCAAUCCGGCCUGUGGACGGUCCAGGAAUCAGUGUGUUUUUACAUGAGUAGAAUGUGUCCUUUUAUUUAAAAUGCAUCUCUGGGUUAUUUAGUCCAGCCCACCACAUGGUCUGAGGAACGGUGGAUCGGCUCAUGGUUGAAAAAGGUUGCUGAUCACUGACUUGGAAUGUAAAAAGGUAAAAAGGCAAAGGACCCCUAGAAGGUUAAGUCCAGUCAAAGGUGACUAUGGGGUUGUGGCACUCAUCUCGCUUUCAGGCCGAGGGAGCCAACGUUUGUCCAAAGACAGCUUUCUGGGUCAUGUGGCCAGCAUGACUAAACCGCUUCUGGCGCAACGGGACACUGUGACAAAAGCCAGAGCGCACAGAAAUGUUGUUUACCUUCCCACUGCAGUGGUACCUAUUUAUCUACUUGCACUGGCAUGAUUUUGAGUUGCUAGGUUGGCAGGAGCUGGGACAGAGCAACGGGAGCUCACCCUGUCGUGGGGAUUUGAACCGCCGACUUUCUGACAGCACAGUAGGAUAUUCCCACAGUCACCACUCGCGAUGGCACUGACCUUCAGGGGAGGCUGAUCAAAGGUAACGAUAAUAAGCCUCACACAAAUGUGAGACUAUUAAAACUGUUGGAUAUUCUCACUUGUGUGUGAGAGAAUCAUUUGUUCCAGAAACAGAGAAGAAGGUUCAAGAAGCAGAAGACAGAUUGUUUUGUCUAGACAAGGACAUUUUCUGUGGGAACUGUUCUUUGGACAUGCACAGUGUGACAGGAAGUACUGAUAACAACGGUUCUGUGUGACUUGUUGUAACUUGUUGUGAGUCUCUUGCUCUUAGUGUCAUGCAGAUAGUUCCCCUAAUCCAAACACAAGUUUCUCAACUCACCUCUUCCAAAACUGAAUUACUCAAAGACCCCGGGUGAUCUCUCUCUCUCGCUUUCCAAUUUUUCUACAGUUUCACCAUUCUAUAUAAUAAAGACACCGAGGCGGUCCAAAUGGCACAGCUGAGAGACACGUAUUUUAGUUUCCUAGCAUUGCUAAAAUUCAAGAUUCUUCCAGGAAUUUCACAGCAUGUAGCUGACAACACAAUAAAUCUCUUCUUACAAACACAGCAUCAGAGUUGAUUAUGCUUAAUUAUGAAUGCCCUAUUCUCUCAUGAACUAUCUAAAAGAGUCAUCACUAGUAAUGAAAAAUUGAUUAUUCAGUCAACUGCGUGCCAUUGAUUAAAAUGCUGCAUUCAAGAAAGCAACAGGGAUGAUGAAAUAUACCAGCCUGGGCUUCUUGCACAAGGCAGUGUGGUUUCAGGAAGAGUAGAAUGAAAAUAUUCUGUGGAACUGGACCUGCCACCUGAGCACUAUUUUAUUCAUCACAACAUUUCAUGAAAGUGCAGGUGGGCAAAACUUUGCUCAGUAGUAGCGAAGAACUGGGGUGGGUGGUUUUCUUAUGAGGUGUCCCAGACAGUCAAAGCCACAGGCCUUUUCUUCUCCCUUCCUCCAUUUUUAACCAUACAUAUAUAUUUUUUUAAAAAAAGAAAGCUUUGCUUACAUUGGCAAAGGGCAGUGCCAAUGAGACUCAGCCACCUGGCAUCUUGAUUCAUCCAGAGGCUAGUCUGUGUUAUGGGCACAUCUUUUAGUACUCUACAAUGCCCCAGUCAAUGCCAUUAACGGAUAAAUCCUAUGGAGGUGGUGCGAAAGAAGCCCUGCCAACUGGGCAUAAGGUGGGAUGGCAGAUUUAUUUUCCUUUCCUUCCAGCUUUUUUAUUUUCACCCUGCUUUUGGCUUCAAUGCAGUGGUGUAGUGGGGCACAGGGGUGGUUGCCCCUGGCGCAAAGUUGUUAGGGGUGCAAAAUUUCAAUACCCAGUGCUUCCUCGCUACAGUUGUGUGCUUCUGUUGCUGGUCUCCAUUGGAAAUGGCUUCUCCAUGUGAACCAGGAAGUGACCUCUCCAGAUAACAGAGCAAAUCUAAUUUUCUUAUCUCUGCAGCUGUGAUCUCCAGGGUGACGUGGACGCCAUUAGGCAGUUGAAUGCACAUGUGUACUCCACCUGUUUCCCUCCCACCCUCUGCAGGGCCCCGGGCACUGGCAACCCAUGCUACAUCACUGCUUCAAUGGGAAGGACUUUAAUGUACCAGUCCCAAGGCUGGCAAGGCUCAGUGCCCAUUCUGGGGCUGUGCCAGAGGAGAGAGGAUCCUGCAGAUCCACAGCUUUCCAUGGAAUGCUACCCAGACUCCUAAACUCUGGCCCCAAUGCCAGGGGAACAGUGAUAGCAGAGAAGCUUUUCUCUGCUACACUGAGAAAGCAACACAUGCACAAACACACCCACCCACCAGAGAGCACAGGAUUUCUCCUUGAGGCUUAAAGUAGCUCAAUAAUGGUAGGUAGCUCAGCCCCAACAGUACUUUUCACCUGAUCCAUGUUGCAUACUGUUUACAAAUUAAAAUUCAGUCCAACCUGACUUUAUUCAAAUUUGUAAAACCAGAAACACCCUCCAGGUGUCCCUAUUUUCCAGGGACAGUCCUGGAAAUACAGAAGCUGUUCUAGUUUCUGAUUUGAUCCUGGAAUGUCCCGGUUUUCCUUUUUCCUCCCCUCCAUGUCUCAGAAAACAAAAGUUGUGUGUGUAGGUGCAAAAACAGAGUCCUGUUUAUCCUGACAGUAAAAUACCUGCACCAAAUGAAGGAAAUGGAGACGCUGGCAUACGAAGCCCUUCCCAUAACUUUGAAGGAAAAGGUCACCAAUCCACUUUAAAUUCUUUAAUUGCAAUGCUUCAGCAGCCAGCCUUUUUUUUUUAAGAAACACAUGGAGUGUUGAUUCAUUUAUUGUAAAUGGAGCCUUACACCGUCUACUUAAAAGUAAGUCCCAUGGUAUUCAAUGGAGCUGACUCCCAGGUAACUGGGCAAAGACUGUGCAGCCUUACACUGCAAUCCUAAGCAUUUUUACUCAGAAGUAAGUCCCACUGAGUUCAAUAGGAUUUACUCUGGUAUGUUCCUAAGCAGAGACAUCACCUUAAAAAGCAGAAACAUCACCUUGCCAACCAAGGUCCGUAUAGUUAAAGCCAUGGUUUUCCCUGUAGUGAUGUAUGGAAGUGAGAGCUGGACCAUAAAGAAGGCUGAUCACCGAAGAAUGGAUGCUUUUGAAUUAUGGUGCUGGAGGAGACACUUGAGAGUCCCAUGGACUGCAGGAAGAUCAAACCUAUCCAUUCUGAAGGAAAUCAGCCCUGAGUGCUCACUGGAAGGACAGAUCCUGAAGCUGAGGCUCCAAUACUUUGGCCACCUCAUGAGAAGAGAAGACUCCCUGGAAAAGACCCUGAUGCUGGGAAAGAUGGAGGGCACAAGGAGAAGGGGAUGACAGAGGACGAGAUGGUGGGACAGUGUUCUGGAAGCUACCAGCAUGAGUUUGACCAAACUGAGGGAGGCAGUGGAAGACAGGAGUGCCUGGCGUGCUCUGGUCCAGGGGGUCAUGAAGAGCCGGACACGACUAAACGACUAAACAACAACAUGUUCCUAAGCAUUAUCUCAGUUUCUAUUAUUAUUUUAUUAUUCUAUUAUUAUUUCUAUUAAUAAUAUUAUUAUUAUUAGCACUAGUACUACUACCUCCAUAUCCCACCUUUUUCCCUGACAAGGACUCAAGGCAGCUUACCACUAACAUUUUAUUUCAUUCCAUUUAUCUGUCGAAGCUGUUGUACGUUAUCCCUAGCCUUGUACAUGUUUUCUUUGCUACAAUCCUGUGAAGUAGAUUCGGCAGAGAGGUUGUAAUUUGCUCAAGGUGACUGCUGUAGAAGCGUACGUGACGUCUAUGUGUUCAGCGAGAUCAAGCAUGGAAGAAGCUUCCUGAUGUAGAAUAGGAUGUCCCUGUUUUCAUCGGACAAACGUUGGAGGGCAUGUUAGCAACGGAGGGUAGAAUUCAACAGAGUGAACUAUGUGCACAGGGGGUGAGGUCUACUCACACAGUGGGCCUUCCCCCUCUCUCCCACACAUGGGGGGGGGGACUGGGAGGAAAGUCCUGUUGCACGAGAAGACCUCAUUCCAUGCAUGCAGCAACAGUUGCCAGAGGUAUAUGUGUGUGUGCAUGCCCAGUAUAUCACAAUGGCAGUUGAGCAGGUGUACGUCUGCUGGACGUUUGCCGCUAUAAUUCAGUGUCCUCAAAGCUGCACGGAACCCUCAGGCAGAGAGACAUUUGCUCCGUACGAAAGCAGGAAUAUUUUAACAUAUUACUAAGAGCACAUUUCCAAUAUGAAAAACGAGCCUUUUAAAAUAAAGCAUUUGACAGUUUGUUGUGAAAGAUCAUAAUUAUGCUUUAUAGCUCAAACGGAGCAUUGGCUGCAGGGGGCCGAGUCAUUAUCUGUAUUGAUGCAGUGAUGAUAAGUCACUAAGAAUAAGCCAGGCCUAAUAGUUUAAUUUAGCUGAGCCCAUCUGUAGCUUAGAGCUUCCAGAGGAUAGAGUAGUUUGAUGAAGUAAAGGCAGCCGACUAUGUCACAUUUGUCUCAUAAAAUUACUGGAUCUCAUUAGCAGAUAUAUAAUCAUUCAGUUGCUUCAGUGGGUUCUUAAUCUUAUGGCCAAACGAGAUGUGACAAGGGAGGACUGUAAGCAGGAUCUCCAGUAGUUUUCCAAAUAGGGGAUGUGGUACACUGGGGCGGGGGGAUGCUUUCUUGUUGUUUCAUUAAGCGUAAAGGUAAAGGGACCCCUUACAGUUAAGUCCAGUUGCAAAUGACUCUGGGGUUGCGCACUCAUCUCACUUUACUGGCCAAGGGAGCCGACGUUUGUCCGCAGAUAUCUUCCGGGUCAUGUGGCCAGCAUGACUAAGCCGCUUCUGGCGAACCAGAGCAGCGCACGGAAACACCGUUUACCUUCCCGCCAGAGCAGUACCUAUUUAUCUACUUGCACUUUGACGUGCUUUCAAACUGCUAGGUUGGCAGGAGCAGGGACCGAGCAACGGGAGCUCACCCUGUCGCGGGGAUUCGAACCGCCGACCUUCUGAUCAGCAAGCCCUAGGCUCAGUGGUUUAGACCACAGUACCACCAGCUGUUUUAUUAUCAUUUAUUAAAUUUGUAACCACCCUAUACCCGUGGGUCACAAGGCGGUUCACAAGAUAAAAUCACAAAAUACAUAAUAAAAAUAAAAACUCAAUAAUGCCUGCCCCUCAAAAUCACAUAUUAAAAAGGCAUUGGAUGUCAGUCAACCAAAGGCCUGGUUAAAGAGGAAAGUUUUUGCCUGGCGCCUAAAGGUGUAUAAUGAAGGCGCCAGGCAAACUUCCCUGGGGAGAGCAUUCCACAAAUGGGGAGCCACUGCAGAGAAGGCCCCGUUCUUGUGUUGCCACCUUCCGGACAUCUCGUGGAGGAGGCACACAAAGAAGGACCUCAGAAGGUGAUCUUGGGGUCCAGGUAGGUUCAUAUGGAGAGAGGUGGUCCUUGAGGAAUUGUGGUCCUGAGCCGCUUAAGGAUUUAUAGGUCAAAACCAGCACUUAGAAUUGGGGCUGGAAACUUAUUGGUAGCCAAUGCAGUCAGGCCAAGUUCGGUGUAAUAUGCUCAAACCAUCUAGCCCUGGUGAACAACCUGGCCACUGAAUUCUGCACUAGCUGAAGUUUCCGAACCGUCUUCAGAGGCAACCCUUUCUGCAGUCUAAAUCAGGCACCCACCCCACCCCAACUUCUGCUAUUAGCUCCAGGCAAGAAAAUGAUGGGUACAUCUCUAUUCCUCAGCCAGGAUGGUAAUGGUGGUUUCGACUGAGAAACAGCCAAGAGUUACCACCCUCUCCUUGAGUUAUGUAACUCAGGCUUCAUGUAGGUCGAUUUAAAACAACAGAAACUGCAAAAAGCUUUUAACCUGAGAUUCAUUCCAUGGAUUCAAAUUUUGUUUUUUGCAAUGUUGCCACUUGUCAUUAUACAAAUGUGGCCAUCUAUUACAGAAACAAUGCUACACGUUAAUAAGAGUUUAUAAAAUAUUACAAAGGAAAAAUAUUAAAAAUAUCAAAUUAUGUUGCUGGGGGGGGGCAGGGGGGAGCCAGGAUCAGUAUCGUAAUCCACAGGCAUUUUCAUUUAUUUCUGUAUGCCCUAGAAUUGUGCAUUCUAAAUGUAACACACUUAGUGCCUUUUAGAAGGGACAGCAAUUUAUUUCUGGAGGAUAAUCCCAUUUUAGAAGGUAGCAAUAGAUGGAUGUAUUUAAUACAAAUAUCUUCAUAUACCUCACAUGAAGUCAGUAAGAUCGUCAAUGGUCUGUGGAUUACAAGCGCAGGCUCACAUUUGUCUAGGGAUGCCAUUAAUUUGGCUGUUCCAUUCCACAAGGGAUAAAAUUUUCAGUUGGGGCUUAGAAAAAGCUUUUACAUCAAUUAGAUGCCUUACAUAACUGGGUGCCGCAGAGGUGGGGGGAAGACAGAAUGAUUUAGAUUUACAUCCACUUAUCUCUGCAACUCUUUUCUGUUUCUCAGUGUCGUUGCAAGGUGGAAAAUCUGGCUUCGUGAUAGCCAGAAAAUAACAACAACGACAACCAUGUUGACAGACCCACGUUUAAAAUGAUCAACUGCAUUUUUAUGUCUCCAUGGGCCAUAACCCAUCUCUUCAAAGGAGGAUAUUGUAUAUGAAGAGUCCAGAUUGAAGAUAAUCUUUACUCCAAACUAGAGGGUUUGUCUAAUUGCCUCGUUUUUUACAGCCAUAACCUUGAAGUCAGUAUAAAUGGUUGCUAGUUUGAUUGAGGUUGGUACCAAUAAUACCCACGUAGCAAUUGGUUUUGCACUUUUUCUGAAGGCUCUAGGUGUAUUACUGUUGAUAAUGAGGCACCAUACAAUAUCUGAGAAAUAAUUCUUGAUUCAUAUAGUUAUUGGGCUAGAUGUAUAUGAAUCUUAUCCUUCGUUUCAUGAAAAACUAAGGAGGCCAUUAAAUGUUCUUUCUGCUAAUAGAGCCGUCCUUCAGUUUUGAGUACAGCAGUUACAUGACUGAUGGAGUACAAUUCCUAAAUACCAAAAUGAAGAAACUUGGAUUCCCAUUACACACUUCCUCGUGUUUACUGAAGAACUUUUAGUUUUAUCAUAAUUAAUUUGCAGUUACUCAAUGUGGCAACACAAACUAAACCAUCUUUACAACCUACGCCUUCCAACUUGCAAAUUAAAAUAGCAUCAUCAGCAUAUGAAAGGCGAGAUACUUUACUGUGGCCUACUUUCACUGGGAAAUGUUGACUGCUUUAUAAGAAGGCCACUCUGUCAUUAAAAAAUGAAUUAAAAAGUUAAGAGAGCAAGAAGACUGCCCUGCUAUACAACCCUGGUAAGGAACACUCUUGGAAUCUGGCCAUGUAAUCCAGUUCUGGCACGUAUCAUUUUUCCAGAAAACAUCUGUAGUAAGGAGCUUAAUGGUUAUGAAUUAAUACCCACUGAUUGUAGCUUUCUCCACAUGCUCAUGAAGGGUAGAGUCCAAAGCUGCUUUCAAAUCAGCCUCAAAAAUAUGCUUAGCUAGUCCUGCAAGAUAUUUAUCUAAAGUUGAAUGGUUGCAACAGAAAUCCACCUCUUCUGGGACAAGAAUGGCUUUUUCCUCCAACCAAUUUUCCAGUUUCCCCAACAGGCAUUUAGCACAGAUUUUACUAGUUAUGUCGAACAAACUAAUGGGACUAUAAUUAUCGGAGUUAUUUCUAAGACUCUUACUAUAGAUAAUAAUGGCAAUAGCAGCAACCCAAUUUGAAGGGAAAGUACCAGUUCUAACUAUGUAGAUAAAUAAGGCUGCAGGAAUUGGUGCCAACAAUCUUGAAAAGAAGAAAAUAGAAGGGGGGGUCCAUUUUCAUGCUUAAACACCCUAUUUCCUUCCAUUGAGUUGCAUUAUAUGUAUUAUCCCACCCCCCCAAGCCUUUAUAGGUGCUUUGCAAUUGAUAAAAGUAAGGUGUAGCAAAGUCACUAGAACUACAUCAUCUAAGAAUUGGUUAAGUUGCAUGUAUGAUUGUUUAGAUAUUGCAAUAUUACCUUUCCUCGCAGGUUCACAAAUAACAUCAGAAAUUGAUUUCUGUGUCAAAUCACGCUCAAGUUUUCAGUUCCAUUUCAUACAUUUGUACUUUGAAUAGACAGAGGGGGGGAGUUGUACUUUAUAAAAUGGAACCAAUAGAGCACAAAAGAGGGGGCUGGUUAUCACUAACUGUGAUAGGGACCACCUUGGAUAACAGCCCCCUGUGAAACAGAAGUAUUUUGAGUAUGGCUAGGCAAGCAAAAUUGGGAAAGGAGUAUGACAAGGCUGUAUAUUGUCUCCCUGUUUAUUUAACUUACAUGCAGAAUUCAUCAUGUGAAAGGCUGGGCUGGAUGAAACCCAAGCUGGAAUUAAGAUUGCCAGAAGAAAUAUCAACAACCUCAGAUAUGCAGAUGACACAACCUUGAUGGCAGAAAGUGAGGAGGAAUUAAAGAACCUUUUAAUGAGGGUGAAAAAGGACAGCACAAAAUAUGGUCUGAAGCUCAACAUCAAAAAAAUGAAGAUCAUGGCCACUGGGCCCAUCACCUCCUGGCAAAUAGAAGGGGAAGAAAUGGAGGCAGUGAGAGAUUUUACUUUCUUGGGCUCCAUGAUCACUGCAGAUGGUGACAGCAGUCACGAAAUUAAAAGAUGCCUGCUCCUUGGGAGAAAGGCGAUGGCAAACCUAGACAGCAUCUUAAAAAGCAGAGACAUCACCUUGCCAACAAAGGUCCGUAUAGUAAAAGCUCUGGUUUUCCCAGUAGUGAUGUAUGGAAGUGAGAGCUGGACCAUAAAGAAGGCUGAUCACCGAAGAAUGGAUGCUUUUGAAUUAUGGUGCUGGAGGAGAC